rnacentral:lncRNA from 1 species
UCUGACUCUCAUGUCAUGAGGAUGUGGUGCUUGUUUGUCUUCUCGUUGUUCUUGCAAGGUUUGGAUUCGAGGUCGAAUCCUUUUCAAGAAGGGAAGGAUGGUACAAGUCAAAUGGCCACCUUUAUUUUUGAAGACAUGAUUGGAGGUCAUCAUUUAAAUGCUCAAGACUUGGUCACCCUGAGGGCACAAGAAUACGCAAGGAAGACCCGUUUUGAGCACAAGCAAGGUCAUGUGUGGAAGAUUGCUUGGAGCAUUGAAGACUUGAGGACUCACGGUUUUGGACAACAUUUAAUGGGCCAUGAUUUGGUAAUCUUCAUUAAGGGUAUUUUGGUCACUUCAUUGGGUCCAAAUGCACUCCAUGGCCACCCCACCCUUUAAGGGCAUUGAUGUCAUUUUAUCUUGUCUUGUAAUAGAAUAUAAAUAGAACAUUUUAGGUCUUUUUCUCAUUAGUUGUUCAUUGAUGUAAGACUUGAAAGAUGAAACACCUUUAGUUGUAGGGCUUGGAAUAGCCACCACACCGAAAUGAGGGCAACAAUUGUGGAUAUCACUUAUGUUGCAAUAUUGGCUUGAGACGUUGGUGUUUAGAGAAGGUAAAGUUCCUCUUGUGUCAAUGUAGGAGUUAGGUUAACCGUUUUGUGUAGUGUUAAGGUUCCAAGAUUACCAUAUUCUUGGAUUCUUAAGAUUAUACCAACCAAGGUCUAACUAUCUAUCCAUUUUGUUUAUGUUGUAAUCGUUUGUUUGUCUUCUUGUAAUUCAAGUCCGUGACUUGUCGUUCUUGUUCCAUUGUUGUUGUUCUUCAUCUUGUUUUUGUUAACAUAGUUUGUUGUUAGCUGUUUUUAGGUGAUAAACACAUCAAUAUAUUGUGUUCUUGUUGUUGUUUGUUGAAUCCGAGUGUGGUCUUUCAAAGGGUCCUCGGAUAUUUGAUCUUGUGGACUGAUUUUGAAGUGUGUUUUGUGUUGUCCUUGUAAUUCUUGUAUCAGGUUGUCUUGAGGACAGCACGCACGGGCUCAAAUCUAGGUCUCAAAUUUUAUAAAUGUGUAAUUAAUUUUAGCCAAAGAAAGGGAGAAUAGCCUAAAAAUGAUAUUAUGUGGUAUAAUACUAGUAUUUGUUGUUUGGAAAGGUGUAACAUGGAUGUAGUGAGAUUAAAUAAAUAAAAAUACUUAUAUGUUUCCAUAAUGUUAAUAAUGUUUUUCAUAGAAUCAUAGUUGAUCAAACUACACAUCAGCUUAAAAUUGAGUAGCAUGGUAAUUAUAGAUUAUGCUAACAAUAUACAAAAGAUUAAAUAUGCAUUUUAUGAAGUCAACCAUACACCGUAUUAGUUAUGACAGCACAAUGCACGUUAAAAUUUCAUGCAACAAUACAGUUUGAUAAAAAUAGAUUUAGUGCAAAACCAUCAUAAUUUUCAUAAAAUAAAAACAUAUUUGUCAUAUCCUAACAACAGAUCAUUCAACUCCCUUGUUUAUAAAAAAAAAAAAAAGUCUUAAACAUUGACAAUAUUAGUAUUCAAAUAUCUUUUUCAUCAUCAUCACAAAUGUUAUCGUAGAUGAAAUCAACAGUAUCCAAGACCGCAUCUUUUUUGUCUGCUUCUUCUUUUGUUUUUCUUGUCCAUCUUUUUUGUCUUCUCCUUCUUCUUUGUCUAUUGCUUCUUCCUUUCCGUCUCCAGCUUCUUCUUCAACAAUUCUGCCAUUGUCAAUUCAUAGACCACAAGUCUAUUAAAAAGUGAAAAUAACUAAGAAUUACCCCACCAUUAAACAAUUCACAAAGUGAUGAGCAAAAAAUUUUCAAUCAAACAUGUAGUAUCAAAACUCAACUGUUGCUACAAAUCAAACUAAUUAGCUAUUAAUCUUUUAAUUUCAAUUAUUUCAUCAAUCGUAUUUUAAAAGAAUUCCAUACACCUAAAUAUUAAUUUCAUAGACCACAAGUCUACGGAUAGAAACAGGUCACUACUCGAAUUAAAUAGCCAAAAUAACUCAUAAAUUAACAAUUAUUCCGCCAUUCAAUACUGCAGUGCUCAAAAAAUACCAAAACUAAAGAAAAAUUCCUUAACAAAAAAUUUAAAAUUCAACACCGUGAUUGGCAAAAAAAUCUAUCAAAACUGCCGAAUUAAAACUCAACCAUUGCUUCAGAAUCAAACUAAUUCCCUAUAAAAUUCUCAUAUUUUAACUAUUUAAUCAACCACAUUCGAAAAAAAUUCCUAUACUACAUCACUUCAAAAUGGUUAAAAAUAAAAAUUGAUAAAAUGGGUCUACAAAUAAUUAAAACUUGAUUUUAACUUACUUUAUAAUGCAAAAAGGAGCCCUUUGUCGCUGAAGAAGAAAAAAUAUAAAAAAAAAUAGCGUUUGGGAGAAAAUUCUUGAGAGUAGAGGAAGAGUUGAAGUUGAAGAGGAGAGAGAAGAUUUUUUUUUUUUUUUUGAUAUUGAAAUAAGUAGAGAGUGUUAAGUGUAUUAUAUUAAAUUGUAAAGUUGUAAAAAUGAUGAAAUGGUCCCUCGGCCCACAUGUGGGCCCCACUUUUACUACUUUUCCAUACUAUUUUAACCUAAACCCUAAAAAUUAAAUAACAAAAAAUUAAGUGGGUAUAUGACAAAAUAGUUUUGCCAAAGUAUGCUUUUGCCAAUUUUUCCCUGACCUCAUGUGUAUAUGUAUAUAUGGGUAUAUAUAGCUAUAUGAAGCAAUGGUACCACUGUAUAUCCCUUUCUUCGUUGUUCUUAUUGUAUAUUUAUUUCUUCGCCUUGUAUAUUGUUAGAUAUCUUUCUUUCGCCCUUUAUUUGUAUAUUAGCCUAGGAUAUAUUGUAUACAUUGAUGUCUAUUAAGUUUGGCUGGAAUAGGAUAGUUAUCUCUUGAUACUUCCUUAGAGUUAUUAUGUUAGACUCUUGGACAUGAACAAGAUUGUUGUCCCUUAUUAUUCUCAUAAACUUGUUAUAUGAGUUAUGGACUCUUGUGUGUAGUUUCCAUUCUGUUUAUAUACUGUUUAUAUAUUGAGUACCAUUCAUUUGGUACUCAUGCUAUACUUCUGCAUCUUGCAGAUCAUAAGUAUGGGUUAUCGCCAUUGAUGUAUGCGUCGUGCGGAGCAGCCCUGGUUCAGAGACUUAGAGUGAGCUUCUGGCGUUCGGAGUAUUACUUAUCUCUCUCUUAUAUUAGACUAGUCUCUAUAUUAUAUUCAGAGAUAAGUUGUAUCAGUAUAAUUCCUUGUCAUUUCAUUUUUGUAUUCUUAAUAUAUUAGAAGCUCUCGUACUUAUAUUAACAGAUUUUGGGAUUCACUUAUGUGACGGUCUUUAUCUCAUUUAUUCUGCAUUCUUUUCUUUAUAAUAUUGAUUAGUCCAUUACUAACCAUUUCAGACUAUGGAUUGGCUUUUCUACUGGUGGGUUAUGGUAAGCGCCAUCGUGACCUGAGAAAUUGGGUCGUGACAAUCAAGAUAUUAUUUAAUAUAUUUUCGGAAAAGGGAACAGAGUAGCUUACAGACUUGCUAACGAACCCCAGCAAAUGCCUCGCUAGAAGCUAGGGGAGAAUAUAACAUGGACAGGCUACAUUUCCCUCCAUUUAACAUGGACAUACAACUACAAAUCCGUUCAAAAGGAACAGAAACUUGGACAUUCUUUACUCUUUUGACGUUCUUUGAUAUAACUUUUGUACAUAGGAAUAGCCAUAUUUUUUUUGAGCUUAUAUUGAAAUCCUACCUUCUUUGUAAUGAAUGGAGCCUGUUCCGUUCAACUAAGUAAACUUUCGAGUUUCGAUCCCUUUUUAUGCAUCUUACUUUUCUUUUAUACUUUAACGAAUCAAGAAUGGCACUUUUUAUGAUUAGUUACUUUUUCAUAAUUUAAUGUUCAAGUAUAUUAUACACAUUUUCUAGUUUAUUUUCCUUCUUUUGAUCAUCAAAGAAAAGUGUUAUGAAUCAGGCCGAAAUAAAGCAAACCACAAGCAGAAAGAAAAUAAGAGCACACAAAUUUACGUGAAAAACACACAAAUUUACGUGGAAACACUUGCGGGGAAAACCACGAGCUGAGGCAAAGGAGGUUUCGCUAUAAUGGAGAGAAAGUACAAUGUGGAGAGACAUUAUUUAUGAAUAAUAAAAAUUGACCCACUAAUUGCACUUAUAUAAUAUGUGCAUACAAAUAAGCCCUAGGCCCAAAAACAUAAAGGUCCAGGGGCGGAUGCACAGCUUUACGUCGGGUUUCCGGAAACCCAUAACUCUUGUACGGUUCUUGAAUUUAUAUUGAAAAAAUGUCAUGACCCGAUUUCUCAAGUGAUGAUGGCGCCUACUUUAACCCACCAGUAGGCAAGUCAAGCCUUAGUCCGGAAUGAUAAGUAACGGGCUAACAGCAGAGACCAAAUAAAAGAUUACGUAUAAUGAUAGCAACAACAAUAAUAAUUGAAAACAAAAAAAAAGUCUAUAUAUUAUAUCAAAUAUGAGAGGAGGAAAAAUGAACAACUAUACAAUGAAUCCCUCUCAAGACCUGAUAAGUUCAGUACUAGAGCCGCUACUACCAGAUACCCAGAGUACCAGACAAAAUCUAAAAUGUCCACAAUAUACAUAAGUAGUCUCGAGUGCAAAAGACUAACUGGAGUACAUAGAGGAAGAUCAGCCUCGGACGACAGCAAGCUCACCCUGCUCUAAAUCAGUACUGAAAGGUAGGAAUCACGUCAAUGUCGACUGCUAGUGCCUGGAUCUGCAUCAGGAAAAAGAUGUAAAAGUGUAGUAUGAGUACCAAAAACCACAGGUACUCAGUAGGCAUCAUCGGUCGACUGAGCUCUAUACAGAAAAGGUAUAACUACAAUGUGAGGGCGUAAUCUGAAUCUUCAAUAAAUAGGGAUGGAAAGGCAACCAAAUACCAAGCUACGCAACGACUGUAAGUGAAUAAACGUAAGCAAUAAAAAAAUGCAGUAAUAACCGACAAAUCAAACAUAACCUAACUGGGCCCCCAUAGGCCCGCUAGGCACAUAACAUAACCUAACUAGGCCCUCAUAAGUCCGCUAGGCACACUGAAGAAGGCAAUUAACCCAUCCGUACUUCCAUAAGCCGGUGGGAUACACAAGUAAUGAAAAUAAACAUAAAUAAUCUAUAACUGCGCUGAUCCCCAUAAAUCAUAAAAGUCUUGCAGAUGUGCACUGUACUUGAACCGGAACCAAUGGGAAAUAACAAGAGGCCAGAUAUAUAGAAUUCAUAAUCAGAUGCCAGACUAGAAUCGGAACUCAUAGUAACCACAAUAACAUUUGUCAGACUCGAACCGGAACUAAUAUCAACCAUAAUAAUCAUUUGCCGGACUCGAAUCGGAACUCAUAGUAACCACAAUAAUCAUUUGCCGGACUAGAACCGAAACUUAUAGUAACCAUAAUAGUCAAUUGCCGGACUCGAACUGAAACUCAUAGUAACCAUAAUCAUAAUCAGAUUCCGGACUCGAACCGGAACUCACAGUAACCAUAAUAAUCAUUUGCCGGACUCGAACCGGAACUCACAGUAACCAUAAUAGUCAAUUGCCGGACUCGAACUGGAACUCACAAUAAUCAUAAUAAUCAUUUACCGAACUCGAACUGGAACUCACAGUAACCAUACCAACCAGAAAUAUUAAAAUUCAUACCAUAUCAUAACAAUGUCAAUGUCUAAAUAAUCAUCCAUUAAUCUUAAUUAAAAAGGGAUAAAUUUAAGGUUUUCCAAUUAAAUUUUAUGUCCCAAAGUGAUAGAUGUUAUAUUAUAUUAAAAGAUAAUCUUUUUCAAAAAAAUGUACCAAAACGGGAUCCUAAUCCGGAUAAAUAAGACAAUUUAUAUAUUUAUCAAAAAUAUACAUCAACAAGGAUUUAUCCAGGCUAACAUAAUAGUUAACAUUUUCAAUAUAUAAGCUCAAUCUAAAAAUAGGGGUAAACCUAGCCUACCUGGACGCCAAAGCUAUAAUAUCUUUCCGCAAAGCCUCCAAAUAAUACUUCACUAGAAGCCGAACUUGAAUAGAUGAAUAUGGAUAUUUUACUAGAAAACUUAAAUUUUGAACAAAAGGAGGAAAAAUUAUAGAAGAAAGAGUAUUACACUACAAAUGCUAAAUAUUUCCAGGAAAGAAAUUAAAGUGGCAGAAAAGCUGCCCUUCUCAUUUGUUAAAGGUUAGAUAAAUAUAUACACACACUUACUGCAAGCUCUCUCUUUUUCCUUUGUUUUAUUCACUUAAAAGUGAUUAACAAAGCUAGGCCACAAGUGCAGCCAACAAAGUAGUCCACCCAUCCGCUUCCAAGGAUGCGGUGGUGGUGGUCACACCAAUUAAUUUUCUGUACAGUAUAUAUAUAUUUAGGUAUUGCAUAAAUUCGUAGUAAAAUAAUUACAGUUUUAUGAAUAUAUCAUAAUUAAUAGAAAAUUAUUUCUAACAAAAUCUCUAUUAUAUAAUAAUAAUAAUAUUUUAAUAUUUUUAAAAUUAUUAUCUCCGCUUAAAAUAUUAAUAAAUCAUAAAAAUCUAUUAUAAAGUGAUAUAAAUAUGUCAUUAAUUAAAGAAUUUUACAUAUCAAAAAUAUUCUAGGAGGAUGCUAAAUUAAAUUAAAUAAUUCAUGAUACAUUUUGAUAGUAGUAAAAUUAUAUAAAAUGCAGGAAAAUGACCUAAGGGUCAUUACAACAAACUAGUAAAUAUAUAAGAAUUAUAAGUUGGGAACCCACAAACAAAGUGUGUUAUUGGUCUAAUUGUGAAAAAAAAGCUUACUAAAGCAUAGUUAGGAACCCACAAUCUUUAAAUUCUAGAUCCGCCUCUGUAAAGGUCCAUCACAAACACGGGUCGCACGCAAAACUUUCUGGACCAGAUCAACAAAAUUUGGGUCACAACUCUAACAAAAAGGAUUUUUAUUUGGCGACAUGGUGGAUCUAAUGAAGUGGAUAUACAUGAUAUGAUGGAUGGGCUCGUCAAAGUUGUGUUCUUGUUGAAACUCGAUUGAGAAAUGAGAGGCAUAUGAAAGGUUCUUUUUUUAUAUAUCUUGUGUAUGUUACAUUGGUCUAGUUCUGUGUGUUCAACUGAAUUCGCUAAUUUUAAUUUUUUACUUGUGAAAAUAGUUACAUUUUUUUUUUAAGUUGGGUGUUCAACAGGUAAAGGUAACAGUCUUAGCUGAGGUGUCAAAAUGAACAUUGAAGCUAGCUUGAGGGGGAAAUUAUGUCUUUAACAAGACUUUAAGGUCAAAAGUCGAAAGUUUUAUCUGCCCAUGAUGCAAAACUUGCAGUUUUGCCCAAGGGGCAAGCGGACCACCAAAUUUCAUGGUCAUUAUUGUAAAUUGCCUUAUGUAUUGGGUUGAUAUAAUAAGUUCAUACUCAUUCUGAACUCACAAACUUUGUAUUUGUGUGUUAUUUUUUAUACACUGUUGUUUAUGUAUCUUGGCAGCCUUUCCGGACUAAUUUUUGGCGAUUAGUUAGGCCUAAGAUUAUUCUCACAUGGUAUCAGACCAGUUUCGUCAAUCCAUAUUGUGGUGCUCAAUGUUGAGCCGAACAAAGUGAAGAGAUCGAGGAGAGGGAACUAGACAAACACUUGCAAAAGAUCAUCCAACAAAUUUAAUCAAUCUUCCUUUAACAAUCCUUGAUAAUUUGGUUUUAUAAACUCUAAAUUUAUACCCUAGUACUAUCAUUAUAUGUACAUGUCACAAGUAGCGAUUACACAAAAUUAUGGCAAGUUAAUUUACGUCAAGUUAGUUGACCAUCAGAAUUGUCAAGGGUAGGCUGAAAAGACGAAUAAAAAUUGAAAUAUUUUUAUUAUUUUUUUCAUUAUAUUUAUUAAAAUUUUAUUAUUAUUAUUAUUAUUAUUAUUAUUAUUAUUAUUAUUAUUAUUAUUUUAUCCAAAUAUUAUUCUUACAUUAAGGAUUGUCUACUUUUUAAUUAUAUAGUUUUUGAUGGCUAGUUCAAAAAAGUGAAGAUUUUAGCCAGAAUAUUAUCCUGAUCAUCUUUUUAGUUCUUUAUUUUUGAUCAAAUCGACUGGUGGCACUCCAUUAAAGUGAGGGGUAUUUGUGAAUCAAAAACAAAUAUAGGGGUAUUUUUGAGUCAAAAAAUAAAUAAGGAUUAUUUUUGCUUCAUUUUGAAAAGUUCAAAGUAAUUUUUGACCCUUUUCCAUAUAUAAAACCCUAAUUAACCAAGACCAACUUCUUUAUCACAAAAGACAAAACCCUAAAUUCUGUUUGCAAAAUCUGCAUAUCUCCAAUGGUGAAAACUAGAGCUUCAAAGAGGAGAAAACCGGUAACUCAUGUCCAGUUACCCGAAGAAAUCAUCAUUGAAAUACUCUCUAAGCUGCCCAUAAAAGUACUGUUGGAAUUCAAGUGUGUUUCAAAGUCAUGACUUGCUUUAAUCUCUUGUCCUGAAUUUGUAAAAACUCAUCUCAAUUCAUCAGCUAAUAACAAAGAAUACAACAACCAUAGAGUUAUUUUGAAAGACAUGAAAGGCAAACUCAAGGACUAUUCUCUACGAUCAUUACUUUACAACCCGAUUACUAGAGACUAUUUUGAAACCUACCCACUUUCAAAACUUAUUUGGAGAGUAUAGAUAAUAAAUUUCUUUUUGAUUUAUUUUUUAGUGUUAGAGAUUGAAAAAGGCAAAAAGUGGGCCAGGGUUGUGGGGUCAGGGACCUCUUUAACAUUUUAAAAACUUGAAAAAAAAUACAACUUUUAAAAAAAUACAACAUAGUUCCUUUUUAAUAUUUAUUAAUUUUCCAAACAUUUAUUAAAAUCAUUUAAUAUUUUCAACAACGUUCCUUUCUCCUCAAAAGCCUUCCUUGUCCCGAUUUUAGUUAAUAUUUUUCGUAAAAAAAAAAAAGGUUUUGUGCGAUUCUUGCUCCCUCAGUCGAAAUUAUUCAUUUUCUCUUACUCAGGUCAGUUUAAUCUUCUUCCCCGAUCAGUUUUAGAUUCAUUUUAGUAAUUUUGUAAUUCCAUUUUGUGUUGGGGUUCUUCUGUUUUGACAAAAAUUGAACUGUUCUUCGUUGAGUUAGUUGAAAUUUGACUAUUUUUAGUUAAAAUUGUCGAUUCCACAUGUUUAAUCGUGUUUUGCUUUGGCUAAUCAGUAGAAAGUUUUUAAUUUUUUGUACUUAUAUUGCGUAUUGAUUUUGAAUUUUUUGUACAGAAUUGGACUCAUUUAAUGGUGUUCUUGUUGUUGUGAAUUGCACUUUCGAUAUUUGGUGAAAUUGGAACUUGAUUUACAUGUUUGAUGUGAGACGUUUUCACAUUUUUCUUAAUAGAUCAGUGAUCGAUAGAUUAACCACUACAUAUUUGUUUUUGCUGCAUUUUUUUGAUUUUAUUAAUAGAUCGACCACUGCAGAUUCAUUUUUUGUUGUAGAUCAUAAAUGGUGAGAAGAGUUCAUAGAGCAGUUAAAAGGCCUGCUUCCACUUCUUCUAGAAGUAGGAAGUGAAACACCGAAGAAGUUUCCAAAACCUCUAAGAGGAAAAAACCUGUAGUUGAUGAAUCCGAGUCGGAAACCGAAUAAAAAAUUCUUGCCAAAAUUUUUGAAUAUCACGAUAGUAGUGCAUACGAGAGUAAGGAUGUUGAGGAUAGUGAAGGGAAAAGCGAAGAAGAAAGUGAAAGUGAUAGCAAGAAAUACGAGGAUAGGAGAGAUAGCGGAGACUGGGAGGAGGAGGAUCCCCUAUCCUUGCCAGUUUGUGUGAGAGAUUCCAAGAAACGAAUCAAGAUUUGGAUUUUCAUCCUUCAACCUAAGUAAUCUAAGGUACAUGGGAUUUUUCUAAACUACAAGCGCAAGUUGAAAACAUUUUGAGUAAGGUUUAAAAUUAUGAAAUUGUACUGUUAUGAAGGGUUUUGAAAUUACAUUAACAAAUAUGCAUUGUGAACCCUUUUGAUGAUAAUGUUUUGGUCUUGAGGCCUUCCCAUAAAAUUGAUUUUUGUUCGUAUAUAUAUGUAUGUAGUUUGAGAUUGAAAGUUGAAUUGAGACCAUGAAUAUCUAGACCCCCUCUCUUAUUAUGAAAUCACGUGAUUUUCACGUGUAAUAAAUUGAUGAAUUUCAUAUUUAGAAGCAUGACAUAAAGGUUAUUUUUCCAACUUUUGAUCAUCGAAGAAACGUGUUAUGAAUCGGGCUGAAAUAAAACAAACCAUAAGCAGAAAGCAAACAAGAACAAACAGAUUUACGUGGAAACACUUGCGGGGAAAACCACGAGCUAAGGCAAAGGAGGUUUCGCUAUAAUGGAGAUAGAGUACAAUGUAGAGAGACGUAAUUUUUGAAUAAUAAAAAUCUACCCACAAAUUGCAUUUAUAUAAUACGUGCAUACAAAUAAGUCCUGGGCCCAAAAACAUUAAGGUCUAUCACAAACAUGGAUUGCACCGCGAAACAUUCUAGGCCAGAUCAACAAAAUUCAGGUCAAAACUCUAACAAAAAGGAUUUUUAUUUGGCGACAUGGUGGAUCUAAUGAAGUGGAUAUACAUGAUAUGAUGGAUGGGCUCGUCAAAGUUGUGUUCUUGUUGAAACUCGAUAGAGAAAUGAGAGGCAUAUGAAAGGUUCUUUUUGUAUAUAUCUUGUGUACGUUACAUUGGUCCAGUUCUGUGCGUUCAACUGAAUUCACUAAUUUUAAUUUUUUACUUGUGAAAAUAGUUGCAUUUUUUUUUUAUGUUGGGUGUUCAACAGGUAAUGGUCCUAGCUGAGGUGUCAAAACGAACAUCGAAGCUAGCUUGAGGGGGAAAUUAUGUCUUUAACAAGACUUUAAUGUCAAAAGUCGAAAGUUUUAUCUGCCCAUGAUGCAAAACUUGAAGCUUUGCCCAAGAGGCAAGCGAACCGCCAAAUUUCAAGGUCAUUAUUGUAAAUCACCUUAUGUAUUAGGUUGAUAUAAUAAGUUCAUACUCAUUCUAAACUCACAAACUUUGUAUUUGUGUGCUAUUUUUUAUACACUGUUGUUUAUGUAUCUUGGCAGCCUUUCCGGACUAAUUUUUGGCGAUUAGUUAGGCUUAAGAUUAUUCUCACAUGGUAUCAGACCAGUUUCACCAAUCCAUGUUGUGGUGCUCAAUGUUGAGCCAAACAAAGUGAAGAGAUCGAGGAGAGGGAGCUAGACGAACACUUUCAAAAGAUGAUCCAACAAAUUUAAUCAAUCUUCGUUUAAUAAUCAUUGCUGAUUUGGUUUAAUAAACUCUAAAUUUAUACCCUUGUACUAUCAUUAUUUAUGCAUGUCACAAGUAGCGAUUACACAAGUUUAUGGCAAGUCAAUUUACGUCAAGUUAGCUGACCAUCAAAAUUGUCAAGGGUAGGCUGAAAAUACGAACAAAAAUUGAAAUAUUUUUAUUAUUGUAUUCAUUAUAUUUAUUAAAAUUUUAUUAUUAUUAUUUUAUCCAAAUAUUAUUCUUACAUUAAGGAUUGUCUACUUUUUAAUUAUAUGGUUUCUGAUGGCUAGUUCAAAAAAGUGAAGAUUUUAGCUAGAAUUGACCCAUUAAUCCAUUCGUCCUUCAAAUAUUAUCCUGAUCAUCUUUUUAGUCCUUUAUUUUUUAUCAAAUCGACUGAAUUAAUCGAUCAGUUUUAUCUUGUUUUUUGUAGUUGCGAUUAGUUUUUUGGUAUCCAUUUUAUUAGUUUUGAUCAAAGGUGUUUCACUACGGACUAAAUAUGCUCAAAAUAACAUUUAAAUUUUUGAAAAAUAAACCUACUCUAUUCACCAUCCCACUAAUUGCAUCAAAUAUAAAACCUUGCAUGAAAUUGAAUUUAGUCAGACUUCAAUACUAGUAUCGGAUACCGUCAUACCGAGUGCAAAGAAAGAACUAGAUGGAAAGUUUAGAAUUUACUUAAAUGCCUGAUCUAGGUGGAUGCCGACGUGGACUAGUCAUGUGGUGAUUUUCUUUCACGUGGCAUGCUUGGUGGAAUUCCGUUAAAGUGAGGGAUAUUUGUGAGUCAAAAACAAACAAAGGGGUAUUUUUGAGUCAAAACACAAAUAAGGGUAUUUUUACUCCAUUUUGAAAAGUUCAGGGUAAUGUUUGACCCUUUUCUGUAUAUUAAACUCUAAUUAACCAAGACCAACUUCUUUAUCACAAAAGACAAAACCCUAAACUCCGUUUGCAAAAUCUGCAUAUCUACAAUGGUGAAAAAUAGAGCUUCAAAUAGGAGAAAAUUGGUAACUCAUGUCCAGUUACCCGAAGAAAUCAUCAUUAAAAUACUCUCUAAGCUGCCCGUAAAAGUACUGUUGGAAUUCAAGUGUGUUUCAAAGUCAUGACUUGCUUUAAUCUCUAGACCUGAAUUUGUAAAAACUCAUCUCAAUUCAUCAGCUAAUUACAAAGAAUACAACAACCAUAGAGUUAUUUAGAAAGACAAGAAAGGCCAACUCAAGGACUGUUCUCUACUAUCAUUACUUUACAACCUGAUUACUAGAGACUAGUUUGAAAUCUACCCACUUUGAAAACUUAUUUUGAGAGUAUAGACCAAAUUUCUUUUUGAUUUAUUUUUUAGGGUUAGAGAUUGAAAAAGGCAAAAAGUGGGUCAGGCUUGUGGGGUCAAGGGCCUCUUUAACAUUUUAAAAACUUAAAAAAAAUACAACUUUUUAAAAAAUACAACAUAAUCCCUUUUUUAUAUUUAUUAAUUUUCCAAACAUGUAUUAAAAUCAUUUAAUAUUUUCAACAACGUUCCUUUCUCCUCAAAAACCUCCCUUCUCCCGAUUUUCGUUCAUAUUUUUUGAAAAAAAAAAAGUUUUGCGCGAUUCUUCCUUCCUCAGUCGAAAUUAUUCAGUUUCUCUUGCUCAGGUAUGUUUAAUCUUCUUCCCCGAUCAGUUUUAGGUCCAUUUUAGUAAUUUUUUAAUUCCAUUUGAUAGAUCGACCACUACAGAUUUGUUUUUGCUGCAUUUUUUUAUUUUUAUUAAUAGAUCGACCAUUGCAGAUUCAUUUUUUGUUGUAGAUCAGAAAUGGUGAGAAGAGUUCAUAGAGUAUUUAAAAGGCCUGCUUCCACUUCUUCUCGCAGUAGGAAGCAAAACACCGAAGAAGUUUUCAAAACCUCUAAGAGGAAAAAACCUGUAGUCAAUGAAUCCGAGUUCUUUAUUUUUGAUCAAAUCGACUGAAUUAAUCGAUCAGUUUUAUCUUAUUUUUUGUAGUUGCAAUUAGUUUUUAGGUGUCCAUUUUAGUAGUUUGAUCAAAGGUGUUUCACUACGGACUAAAUACGCUCAAAAUAACAUUUAAAUUUUUGAAAAAUAAACCUACUCUAUUCAACAUCCCACUAAUUGCAUCUAAGGUUGUUAGGUGGGCCGCGCCAGGCCAACCCGAAACCGGCCCAUUAAAGUUAGCCGGGUUGUUGGCAAGCCGGGUCCGGGUUGGGGCAAAGUUGGCUGGGCCGGGCCGGGCUCAAUAGUAAUUUUUUUAAAAACAACCCGAACCCGGCCCACUUAACCCAACCCGGUCAAACCCACCAAAACCCGGUCAAAUCCUGUUAAAAAUUCGAUCAAACCCGGUCAAAAAUGAAAAAAAAAAACUUUUUUUCAAUAUAUACUAUAUAUACCCACCUAUAUACAUUUUAAAUACGUUAAAAAAUAUAUAUAAACUAUAUAUAUAGUAUAUACCACAUUAGAAUUUAAAAAAUAUAUAUACAUAUACACAAUUAUACAUAUAUAAGCAUCAUUUAAUGUAUAUGUGCUAAUUUAAAGUUUAAAUAAAAUAUAAUACAAUAUAUAUACAUUACAAUAUAUAUAUAUAGUUAUAUAGUUAUAUAUUGAUUUAUAAAACAUAUAUACAUGUAUACGUUAAAUAUAACGUCUAUAUAAGAUAUAUUCACAUAUAUACGCUCUAUUCAAUGUAUAUGUACUACUUUAAAUAAAAUAUACUACAAUAUAUACACAUUAUAAUAUAUAUAUAUGUAUAUAUAUAUAUAUAUAUAGAGAGAGAGAGAGAGAUAUACUAAUUUAUAAAACAUAUACACAUGUAUACGUUAAAUAUACACGUCUAUAGAAGAUAUAUUCACACAUAUACGCUCUAUUCUAUAUAUAUGUACUACUUUAUAUAAAAUAUACUACAAUAUAUAUAUACAUUAAAUAUAUAUAUAUAGUUAUAUAUAGUUAUAUACUAAUUUAUAAAAUAUACACAUGUAUACGUUAAAUAUACAUGUCUAUAGAAGAUAUAUUCACACAUAUACUCUCUAUUCAAUAUAUAUGUACUACUUUAAAGUUUAAAUAAAAUAUACUACAAUAUAUAUACAUUAAAACAUAUACACAUGUAUACGUUAAAUAUANNNNNNNNNNNNNNNNNNNNNNNNNNNNNNNNNNNNNNNNNNNNNNNNNNNNNNNNNNNNNNNNNNNNNNNNNNNNNNNNNNNNNNNNNNNNNNNNNNNNNNNNNNNNNNNNNNNNNNNNNNNNNNNNNNNNNNNNNNNNNNNNNNNNNNNNNNNNNNNNNNNNNNNNNNNNNNNNNNNNNNNNNNNNNNNNNNNNNNNNNNNNNNNNNNNNNNNNNNNNNNNNNNNNNNNNNNNNNNNNNNNNNNNNNNNNNNNNNNNNNNNNNNNNNNNNNNNNNNNNNNNNNNNNNNNNNNNNNNNNNNNNNNNNNNNNNNNNNNNNNNNNNNNNNNNNNNNNNNNNNNNNNNNNNNNNNNNNNNNNNNNAUACUACAAUAUAUAUAUAGUUAUAUACUAAUGUAUAAGACAUAUAAACAUGUAUAUGUUAAAUAUACACGUCUUUAAAAGAUAUAUACACAAAUAUACGCACCAUUCAAUAUAUAUGUACUACUUUAAGUAAAACAUAUACUACAAUAUAUGUACAUACUACAAUAUAUAUAUAGUUAAAUAAUAAUUUAUAAAACAUAUACACAUGUAUACAUAGUAUAUAUACGUCUAUAGAAGAUAUAUACACAAAUAUACGCAUCAUUCAAUAUAUAUGUACUACUUUAAGUAAAACAUAUAAUACAAUAUAUAUGUAUACUAAAAUAUAUAUAGUUAUUUACUAAUUUAUUAAACAUAUACACAUGUAUACGUUAAAUAUAUACGUCUAUAGAAGAUAUAUACACAUAUAUACUACAAUAUAUAUAAUAAUAUACAAAUUUAUGAAACAUAUACACAUGUAUACAUUAAAUAUACACGUCUGUAAAAGAUAUAAACACCAAUAUACGCACCAUUAAAAUUAUAUGUACUACUUUAAGUAAAACAUAUACUACAAUAUAUGUAUAUACUACAAUAUAUAUAUAGUUAUAUACUAAUUUAUCAAACAUAUACACUUGUAUACAUUAAAGAUACACGUCUAUAGAAGAUAUAUGCACAAAUAUAUGCACCAUUCAAUAUAUAUGUACUACUUUAAGUAAAACAUAUACUACAAUAUAUAUAUAUAGCUAUAUACUAAUUUAUAAAACAUAUACACAUGUAUAGGUUAAAUAUAUGCGUCUAUAGAAGAUAUAUACACAUAUAUACGCACCAUUCAAUAUAUAUGUACUACUUUAAAUAAAAUAUACUACAAUAUAUAUAUAUAGCUAUAUACUAAUUUAUAAAACAUAUACACAUUAUAUAUAUAGUUAUAGUUAUAUACUAAUUUAUAAACAUAUACACAUAUAUACACUAAAUAUAUAUGUUUAUAGAAGAUAUAUACACAUUUACACAUUAAAUAUAUACGUCUAUAGAAGAUAUAUACACAUAUAUACGCACCAUUCAAUAUAUAUGUACUACUAUAAAUAAAAUAUAUUACAAUCUAUAUACACUACAAUAUAUACACACACUAUAUAUAUAGUUAGAAAGUAAUUUAUAAAAUAUAUACACACGUAUACGUUAAAUAUAUACUACUUCAGAAGAUCUAUACACACACAUAUACCUACCAUUCAAUAUAUGUACUACUUUAAAUAAAAUAUACUUCAAUAUAUAUACACUACAAUAUAUGUACACACUAUAUAUAUAGUUAUUUACUAAUUUAUAAAAUAUUUACACAUGUAUACGUUAAAUACAUGUCUAUAUUUUAGAUCUUGCUCAGGUAAGUUUAAUCUUCUUCCCCGAUCAGUUUUAGAUCCAUUUAGUAAUUUUUAAUUCCAUUUUGUGUUGGGGUUCUUCAGUUUUGACAAAAAUUGCACUGUUAUUCGUUGAGUUAGUUGAAAUUUGACUGUUUUUAGUUAACAUUGUCGAUUCCACAUGUUUAAUCGUGUUUUGCUUUGGCUAAUCAGUAGAAAGUUUUUAAAUUUUUGUUCUUAUAUUGCAUAUUGAUUUUAAAUUUUUUGUACUGAAUUGGACUCAUUUUAAUGGUUUUCUUGUUGUUGUGAAUUGCACUUCCAAUAUCUGGUGAGUUGGAACUUGAUUUGUAUGUUUGAUGUGAGACGUUUUCCUAUUUUUCUUAAUAGAUCAGUGGUCGUUAGAUCAACCACUACAGAUUUCUUUUUCCUGCAUUUUUUUGUUUUUAUUAAUUGAUCGACCACUGUAGAUUCAUUUUUUGUUGUAGAUCAAAAAUGAUGAGCAGAGUUCAUAGAGAAGUUAAAAGGCCUACUUCCACUUCUUCUAGCAGUAGGAAGCAAAAUAGCAAAGAGGUUUCCGAAACCCCUAAGAGGAAAAAACCUGUAGUCGAUGAAUCCUAGUCGGAAACUGAAUAAAAAUUUCUUGCCAAAAUUUUUGAAUAUCACUAUAGUAGUUCACACGAGAGUAAGGAUGUUGAGGAUAGCGAAGGGAGAAGUGAAGGGGAAAGCGAAGAGGAAAGUGAAAGUGAUAGCAAGAAAGACGAGAUUAGGAGAGAUAACGGAGACGGGGAGGAGGAGGAUCCCCAAUCCUUGCCAAUUUGUGUGAGAGAUAUCUUUUUUGAGUCUUACAACCUAACAACCUGGAUGGAUCAUCGAGGUUAUUUUCCUGCAAAUAUUUCCAUCAGAGCAAGAAUGACGGUCUAUCGAGUGUUUAGACGGAUUCUUGUUGAACAUAAGUUGUAUUCUGAUUUUAAGAAGACAAGUUUUGGACACUUGAGGCAUAUACCAAAAAAAUUUAAGUUUAAUGGACAGAUGGUCCAUUAUGUAUUGUUGCAACGUAAAAAAAAAUCAGAAAAACUACAUGAAAUUUGAUUUCGUGUGAAUGGUAAGCCAACUUGUUUUGGCUUAAAGGAAUUUUCUUUGAUUACAAGGUUGAAUUGUUCAGCAUAUCCCCGUGAAUCAAAAGUGAACAAAGUCCUCCAAAAUUUAGAAAGCUUUCAUUUUAAGGUGACGAAGAACAAGAGCAUUACUCCUGCAAAGUUGAUUAGCCUGAUGAAGGGUAAUAGUCUGAAUAAUCAACAAAACUUGAAGUGUGCUUUGGUUGGGUUCAUGCACGUGAUGCUGCUGGCAAAGGAACCAUCAAAGAAGGUGGAUUCUGAUCACAUCAAGAUGGUGGCUGAUUUAGAAUUCUUUGAGGAUAUCCAUGGGGAAAAAGAGUCCUUUGGGUUGACCUUGAGUUAUCUGAAAAAGAAGAUUGAUCUGACCAAGCAAAAAGAAGCUUUUGUCAAGAGGAAUAAUGCAUCGUACACGUUAUUUGGCUUUCUCUGUGCAUUUCUGGUACUUAUAAUCUACCAUAUUAUUGAUUUAUUAUAGACUCCUACAUAUUUAUGCUAUAAUACAUAGACCCUGUAGAUUUAUUUAUUGUAACACCCCGCACUUUUGAGCUAAAGUUUGAACCGUCUUUUGCAUGCGUUUAGACCCGAACCCAAUGAUUCCUCUUAAAUAUAUUUGUGAUGAUCAGUUCCAUAGUUUGUUAAUACCUUUUAAUAUUAAUUGAGGUCACAAAACUCCCCUAACUCAAAGACGAGUUGAUAAUUUUUCUAUCGAUUAAGUUUUAGUGAACGUCUCAACUUGGGUAAACUUUCAUCGAACAAAAAUUCUUGUAUAUAAUGAUUUAUAGGACUUACUUUAUAUCUAAGUAAAAAGUUAUGUUUGUUUUCCAGAGAGGUGUCAGUCGGCUAAAUUAUGACGGCCAGACUAACGGACCGUUAAGCUAGUGAUGGCCCGUCAAGUUAGGCUGUCAACUUAAAAUUGAAAGAUCUUUCUCUGGCCAUAAGCUGAAGGUUGAAGUGACGGUUCGUCACCAGACUGACCGUCCAUCAACCAAACCGUCAGUCGAGGCUGAGUUGCUCAAACGGGCUAUUUUUAAAUAGGUAUUUUGGUACUUUCCCAUCUCAAACUCCUUCACGAUGAAUAUAAAUCAUAUCUUAAGCAUUAUAAUCCAUAUUUGAUUAGUUUUAAACACAUCUUAAUCCUUUCUACUCUCAAGAACAAGAGAAAUUAGGGCUUCAUCAAAGAUCAAGAAUCAAUCUUUAAGUACAAGAUUUCCAAGAAACGAAUCAAGAUUUGGAUUUUCAUCCUUCAACCUAAGUAAUCUAAGGUACAUGGGGUUUUUCUAAACUAUAUGGGGAUAUUGAAAUCAUUUUGAGUUAGGUUUAAAGUUACGAAAUCAUACUGUUACGAAGGGUUUUGAAAUUACAUUAACAAAUAUGCAUUGUGAACCCUUUUGAUGAUAACGUUUUGGUCUUGAGGCCUUCCCAUAAAAUUAAUUUUUGUUCGUAUAUAUAUAUGUAUGUAGUUUGAGAUUUAAAGUUGAAUUAAAACCAUGAAUGUCUAGACCCCCUCUCUUAUUAUGACAUCACUUGAUUUUCGCGUCUAAUAAAUUGAUGAGUUUCAUAUUUAGAAGCAUGACAUAAAGGUUUUCUUGACUAUUGUUUAAGGCAUGAUAUUGAUUAUAAACUAAAGAGAGGGAGUUAUCUUGCUUUGUAAAUAUUAAUGAUUAUUAUUGAAAGAAUUUCAUGGUUUGCCGCAAAGUAAAUGACCACCACAUGUUUAAGAAUUGAAAGAGGGAAUCUUGCAUAUGUUUUCAUGUACUGCAAUAUGCAAAUUCACUUGUACUGUUUGAACGAAUUUGUGGUCCAAGCACUUUGUUUUGAAUGAAGGGAUUAUAACAUGAUACAAUAUACCUUAGAGAUAUGACUUACAAGUCUUGGUAUGAUGAUACCAGAUGAAUGCUAUAGUAGAUUCAGAACAGACUAAAAAUAUAGAUUUCACUCAGAUUUUUAUAUUUUGAAUUCAAAAAGGUACAUGUUUAGAAAGAGUUAAAACAUGGACCUAAAGAGAGUUAGGUGGUUACCCGAAGAAGGAAUGAUCCUAGAAAACUCAUUGUCCAAACCUGUGUUUUGCCGAUACGGGUUAUUUUGUCCUUAAAGAGGAAUUAUACGUUGGCCUAGUGCCCUGUGGCAUAUUAAAAUUAGAAACUCAAACUCUUGCGGCAAAUUGGGUUAGGGGCUUGGCCGUUGAGUCAAAGGAGGAUUCCAUGUAGCUCGUGGGAUUGUAGAAUUAUAGGGUGUACCACCUAGCUCGGAAUUAAACAAAGAGUGAGUCUUGUUUCAAGGAAUUGUUUGAAAAGUCUUUUAAGUUUUCCCAUGAGUUUUCAUAUGUCAUAUGUAAAGUGUUUUACAAAUUUCUCUCACUUAUGUUAUAUAGAAAUAGAUUAUUUUGGAUUGCUUUGCAUACCAAUACAUUUGUAUUGACCCGCUAUAUUUUAGGAUCUAAGGAUUAGUCCUGGGGUCCCGCUAAGCUUAAGACUAUUGUCAGACAAUUGGAGUUUGUGAGCCUCCCUUAUUUUGCUAGUCCUUAUCUCAUUAUUUCAAUAUUUCUAGUUCAUUGUCCGAUCGGGGGCCUUAUCCAGUCUUUAAACAGAUGUUGUUUUCUUUCAAUUAGUAGAGAUUUUGCAGACAGAUGUUAGAUGGAUUUGGGUCUUAUUGAAAUUAUAACCGUAUGUUUUGUUGAAAUUGGAUGACCUUGAUUCUAUUUUGUUUUGCGCAUUUUCUUAUAGUUUAUGAAUUGUGUAUGUAAUUUCCAGUAGAGAAGGGCUCUCGGGCCUUCAAGGUUUGGGAUGGUCGUCGUGUCCUGGGACUCAGUUCGGGUCAUGACAAACUUGAUAUCAGAGCACGGUUCAUGGUCCCAGGGUAUCUGCGAAGUCGUGUCUAGUAGAGUCUUGCUUAUGGGUGUGUUGUACACCACACUUAUAAUCAGGAGGCUACUAGGCAUUUUGAAUUUGUUUCUUGUUCUUUCAUACUCUAGUUUGUGCUAUAGCGUCAUUCAUAAGAAAGUUAUCCAAAUUUCCUUCCUUGUUUAUAUUUCAUGGGCAAUGCCUCAUUAUCGCUGCAAUACAAGUCUAGGAGUCUAUAUCCCUCAGUGAUGUGGUUCUCUCUAAUUGAGUUAUUCAUACAGUAAUGUGAUAGCACAAGGACUUGAGAGGAGUCUAAUAGUGCUUCAAGUUGUAUUGCUUCGAGUGUAUACCUUUAUCCUGAUGAAGUCAUGCUUUUCAACCUAAGGUACAAAGUGUAUUCAGUUCCCUUUUAAAUUUUUUGUUGCAGAUGUCAUGCUUAAAGUUAUUGAGUGUAGCCAAAUGUUGAAACUAUAUUUCCACCCGAGUAGUAGUAUAUGUUAAAGUGUCAUGACCUAUUGGUAGUGAGAUGGGCGAAGAAGUUGGUGAUAUGAAGUCACAAGAUUAGAAGUCAGAGUAAGGGUGAGUUUUGUAUAAAUAAAUAGUUUUAGUUGUUUAACUAUUGAUUGAGGGGUGGCUUUUUCUUUUAUGGUGGUUGGCUAAUGUUAUAGCAAGAUUUAUAGAUUGUACGAUAGUUUGUGAAUGAAGUGUUUGGCUUUGAGUAUUAUUUAUUAAAAUUAGGGAAGGAGCCUAGAAUGGAUAGUUACGGUGGUUGUAGAAAUCAUUUAUAGGCUGUGAAUGAAAAGGGGUAGAUUAGUCAAUAGGUUACAAAUAGAGACUCAUUGGUGUAUAUGAAACUUGAAGGUAGUGGGGAUGUAUAUAUGGGUAAGUAAAUAUUACGUGGGGAAGUGAAGUAUGUUGAUGAGAUCGUAAUAGGUUAUGUUAUAAGAUUAAGAUCGACUAUCCCUAUUAUGACUUUACCCCCCUCCCCCUUGAUUGUCUUUAUUCUAGUAGUUGUAAACUAAUGCUGCCUGUGAUAAGGUAUGCAGUAGAUUUUGAGGUGCAGUAGUAAUGUGAUGGAGGGGAUGUGAUCGAAGGUAGUAGUUAAAUGAAAUAAAGUAUUUUGGGUUGAAUUCCUAAUUUGAUGGGCUAUUAUAGUACGUGGCAUGCUUCAUUGGUGGUACAUGAUUGACGCUAGACUAUAGGCUUGAACUUUGGAUGUGAAGUGUGGUGGUAAGAGUAAUAGCUUAAGAUUAAUGAUGAAUGUUUUGCGGGAAUUAAUUAGUAGGCUUGAUGUUCUGUGUGAAAUUGCCUAGGUUUGCAACUUAUGGAAAAAGAGUGGAUAAAUGGUGAUAUAUAUAUAUAUAUAUAUAUAUACACACACACAUGAGGACUAGUGUUAAAAAAAAUGAUGAUUUGUGGUUGAGUUAUUAAGGAUAUAAGAGUAAUAGUCAUAUUAAAAUAAGUUGAACCCCGAUAACAUGUUGUUAGAUAAGAUUGUAUGGUGUAUGUGUCAGGUGUACCUAGUUUUUGUUUUUGAAUUUUGUAGUACGGAGAAUUUUGGGGAGUUGUUGUAUAGAGUUCAUUAAAUUUGAGCUUGAGGAAAUAUAGGAAGGCAAUAUUCACCUUUGAUAUAGUUGUAAAAAUUUUGUUAAGUUGUAAGUUUUGCGAUGAGAGAUUUAAUACGGGUAUCUUAAAUGAUGGAGAAUAAGUGGGUAUGUGAUAAGGGGUGUGGAUAUUUAUACCUGCGUGAGUGUGAGUUAUAGGGUGAUGGAUAUAAAGGCUAGAGAAAGUUAAGAGUAGCAUUUACGGAAAGCAAGGCCUUCAGAGUAUAGUUCAUCAGGGAGAGUUUAGAGUUUAAGUUUAUGGUGAGAGUUGUGGCAAUAGAUUUUGAUGUGAGGUUAUGCCCGCAAGUCUAGGAGUGUGACAUUGAUCUAAGGGGGAGAAGAUGUAUUAAAGUAGUUCCCGAAUUUUGUUGUGGUGUCAAGUUUCAAGUAAGAAACAUGAUAAAUCAAUUUCUAUUCAAUCAAGCUCCUCCUACUUCGAUUUGAAUGGACAUCUACCAAUGUCUUAUGUAUUCAUGUCAUGCCUAUGCCUAAGAUUUGAGCUCUCUAUAUAACUCAUGUCAUGUUCCGACCUCCAAACUAGAAGCAAUAAUGUCCCUCAGUGAUCCAAUAUUCCAAGUAUCCAAGCCAUAUGUUAUAUUGCUCAUGAUCCAUAAAAGUCCAUGUCUCACAUAAUGCUUGAUUUGAAGAAACUAUGCUUUCCAUAUGUUACCGUUUCAUGUUAUACCGGGAUUAGUCAAACUGAUAAAGCUUAUGCUAACUCAUGAAAAAUUUCAGUUCAAUAAAUAAGGAUCAAUCGCUUCAAGUGGCAAUCCUUUUCUUAGUUGUUAACUACAUAAAUUUCGGUUUUAUGUCAUAUACGUCAUGAUAUGUGCAUCCAUGUUACUCAUUGUGGUUUGUCCUAAGAAAACCAUGUUGUUUUGUGUUCAUGCCAAAUGACUCUUUACUUAUGAUUCGGACACUUGAUAUGUGAAGCACUUUGUGUCUAUUCUAAUGUAUCUUCGUCUUAUGUUCCACUUUUAGUAGUGCAUAAGUAUAUCGUAUAAUCGAUUAGUGUUACUCCCAUUCAUGAUGCUUAUGCUCGGGUCCCUUAAUAACCUUCCGUAUGUUAGUAUAAUGGUGGUUGUGGAAGCAUAAUAGUGUGUUAGGUAGGGGAGUAGAUGUUUUUUUAAGAUGAAAAUUUAGAUGUGAUUUCUUGAGGUAAGGUUAUAGGAGAAGGUGGAAGAAGGAAAUGAACUUUCGUUAUGUGAGAUAGUUAAGGAGUUAUGUGGCGAAAGUCUUAGUGAGAAUAAUUGAAUUGGCGGGUCUUAGUGGGGAGAUCCAUGAAGUGGGUGUAGUAAUAAUAGGCUUGAAUGUUGUGAUUGAAUAAAACACAAACCAAUGGGUUAUGUGGUUGGUGCUCCUUGAUUUAAAACUCGUGUGUGUUUGAUGGUGGGGAUAAGGUGAAGUAAUUUUCUUAAUGGGAUAUAGAGUACCGGAUCCCGUAGCUAAAGCUAAUACCUCUUCCCCUUGAGUUAGGCUUAAACAUAAAAGCACUAUGCAGUGGGACUCAAACUCGUGUUUAGAUGUGUGAUGGGAGAAAUAUAAAUGAAAUUUAUGAAGUAUGUCGUUUAUUUAUUAUUUGGGGCAUAGUCGAGUAGUGUCUCUAAGUGAGGUUCAUUCAUUUUAAAUUGUACGGUGAGGGAAUGCUUCGAUCCCCAUUUUCCACGAAAUCUUAUUUCAUAACUAUUACUUAUGUAAAUCAGGCCAUUUAUCACCAAAUUAACUAAUGCCUUAUGUUGUGAUGAUUAUGAUUCAUAGAACUCUUGUGCAAGAUCAUCCCUAUGUAAAGUUUCAUUACACACGAUUCACUUGGCAACGUCAUGAAUGCUUUUCUUGAGGUCGAUGUAUGUUUCCUUCGAAUAUUUUUUUAAAGUAAGGUUACGUCCUGUAUUUCAUAUUUUUGGAGCUUCAAUAAGUCCCUACCCAUCAUUCGGAGACUAAUGAUUCCAAGGGGGAGAUAAUGUAACACCCCGCACUUUCGGGCUAAAGUUUGAACCGUCUUUUCCAUGCGUAUAGACCCGAACCCAAAGAUUACUUGUUAAUAUAUGUGUGAUGAUCAAUUCCAUAGUUUGGAAAUACCUUUGAAUAUGAAUUGAGGCCACAAAAAUCCCCUAACUCAAAGAGGAGUUGAAAAUGUUUCUAUCGAUUAAAUUUUAGUGAACAUCUCAACUUGGGUUAACUUUCAUUGACCAUAAAUUCUUGUAGAUAAUGAAUUAGAGAACCUAUUGUAUAUCAAAUGAAAGUUGUAGACACGCGAUUUCGUCCUCUUAAAGUUCAAUUUUAUUCACUUUUACCCAUUUUUAUUUUAUCCUACCGUGUACCCUCAUCCAUGUUAUUAUACCCUCACAAAAUACAAAAAAUAACAAACUCCCUAACAAAUUCUAUCCCAUCCUAACCCCUACAUCUUAUCCUAACAACCUAUCCAAUCAAAAUAAACCACAUCACACCCUACCCCUACCCCACCUUCAUACCCCACCUACCCUACACCAAUACCCACCCACGUGACCCCUCACACUACCACCUACCAUAUAUACAUAUCCCAUUAUCACACCAUAGGGGAGGACAAAAAUAUUUUUCCAUUUUUGAUGCUCCACUAAGAUCCAGGGGAGAGUUCACUAAAAAAAACAUACAUUCUCUCACCAUAUACAUACACACUACACACAACUCACAAUAAUCACUCGUCCUCACUGAUUUGCACACACCCACAUACUGGUAUACACACAUAUCACCAAAAAGGAGAAAUACAGUAGAAUUGGGGAUCAAGAAAGAUAAAUGAAGGGAGAUAGGUCAGAAACAGUGAAGAAAUCGAAAUAAAACAAUAGAGAGAAGUGAGAGAGUGAGAGAGAUCUGCGAGAUAGUGAUAGAGAGCUGUGAGAGAGUGACAGAACAAUGCGAGAGAGGCAGAUAUGGUGAGAAAAGAGUGAAAAUCAAUCAAGGGAGAGAAACGGGCACUGGUUUGACCAUUUCCGAUGAGUCUCUUGCCGGAUAUCCAUCAAAAUCGAGCUAGAAAGCUUCGGCAAUUGUUGUUGCAGCGAAACCCAUAGGAAAACAUUCACGCGAACCUUGUUCCAGAUCUACGACGAAUAGCCACCUUCAUCUACUCCGGCAAGAUUUAGUUAACUCCGGUGAGUCACGAAAUAUUGAAAGAAAAUAAGGAGGUUGUCCUUGGAAUGUUGAGUCAAGGUUCUGCUAGUUCAUGGUGCCGAAUCUGCGAAACUCCUCUAUUUGAUUGAAUAAAAGCGGCAUUAAGGUCCCGUUUGUGUCGAUCUAUUCGUCACCAUUAGUUUCAGGCUUUGAUUUCUCGAUUACCAAGUUGGAUUAGUCACAGCUGAGGUUAUUUCAUCCGAAAUUCCAAGUUUGGGCUUCUUUAAUGUUAUUACCAACACAAAUUGAUUAUUGGAAGGUCCACUUCUUUAACUCAUUCUCUCUUCUUUAUCGUAAUUUAUUAAAUUGGGCAUGUUUGAAAUUGGAUGAUUUGUUGAUUGUUUGAUGUUAUUCAUGUGAAAUUUGUAUGAUUAUCAUGCUUUAAUUGUCAUUAUGUCUAUGUUGUUGAUAUUGAAUUCUGAGUUGAAAAUUGAGUUGACAAUCGAGGCAUGUGUUAAUUUUGGUUGAAAAGAGAAUGUGGGGUGGGAAGGAAGAAAUUGAUAAAAGUUGAACGUAGAUUAAUGUUAGUUUGUUUUCUUUUUGUUCCAUUCGGUACAAAUGAAACAUGAUAGAAUUAUCAUAUGAUUGAAAUGGAUAGGCCAAUGUAGGUUCGGGUAGGCAAAUUUAGGAUUAAGAUUUUGAUUGAAUGUUUGAAUGUGGAAUGUGUUGAAUGUUUUUUUAGUUUAUCGCAUCUAAUUCAAAAUGUAUUCAUUUGGCCGGGGAAUGCCCCGAAGUAUUUGUAUAUAUAUUUAUUCACCGGGAAUGCCCCGAAGUACUAUGUUGGCAAAGGCGGAUCGAGAACAAGGCCCGAGGCGUAGGGUAGCGGGAGCGUAGUUAGUAGUAGCAUAAGUUAGAUGGUAUUUAUCUUAGCAUUUUUUUUUAUGUUGGAAUGUAUAAAUUGGACUGGACACUAUAUUUUGAUCGUUUUGUUUUUGUCUGUUUGUUUGUUUGUUUUUACGUAUUUGUGUGGUUUGUACAUUCAUCAGGAUCGAGUGGUGCCUAACACCUUCCCCUCGGUCAACAGAAUUCCUUAGCCGGAAUCUCUAUUCGCGAACCAGUUUAAAGAGUCAAAUGGUUUCGAAAAGAACUUUUCCAAUGGUGACUUGGCACACUAGAUUAUGCCAAGUGGCGACUCUGAUUUUGAAUUUAAAAAUAAUUCUUUUUCGGAACCAAUUUUCAUUUUGUCACUUUAAUAAAAACUCUUUCGAACUUAAAAUAUAAAUUUUUCUGAGUCGUAAAAGGGGUGUGACAAAAGUUAUUUGAGUCUUCUUUCCAACUCCACUGGUUUUACCUUAAUCUGAUAUCUGAGUAAAAAGUUAUGCUUGUUUUCCAGAGAGGUGUCAGUCUGAUUGCCAUCAAGCCAGUGAUGGCCCGUCAAGUUAGGCCGUCAACUUGAAACAGCAAGCUCUUUCUCUGAACCAGCUAAAUAAUAUUAACGAUUAGAAAGGAUCUAAACCUUGGUUUUGUUUUUACUUUUAUCAAUUAUGUCAUCUCCGUUCAAUAUAACUACAAUAAGCAGCAUUCUAUUUUCGCAUUUAUUUGGAACAUGGAACUGUUCCCUGAGCAGACUGUAGAAAUCAUUAUAGGUUUUUCCAUAUUAGGUACAAUAAUUUACCUUAGUAGAUUUAAGAGUAAAUGGGACCUAACCAUUUUCAGGGAAAGAAGAAGUUCUCGGUGCCAACAAGCAGUAAAGGCAUAAGUAAGUGCAUUAAUGGACAAAUCAACCAUUCAAAAUAUGGAGAAACAGGAGUUCCAUGUGCUCUUGAUGCUAUUUUUGAACAAUACAAGAACACCAUGAAAGGGAACCAAGAUGUUUCUGCUCCUAAUGAUUCUGAUGAGGUUUCCGUUUCCAUCACAGAUGAUGUUAGAACAUCAAGAAAAAGAGGCCUUACUGAAGGUUAGUCGUUCCUUCAGAAAUGAAUGAGUUCAGCUGUUCACAUGUUCGUUGUGCUUAUCUUAUUUUCUUGAUGAAUUAGCUUUCAUGAGAUCUUCUUUGGUACUAAUAUUUUUCGGUAACAUUCAUUUCCGAGUAUCCGAGCUUGUUCCUGUAACUAACAUAGAUGCGCAGUAAAUCAAGAAGCUUAUACUUGUGUCAUUUGACCUUUGCUUCCCAAGCUACUAAUAAGCUGCUGAUUCUAAAUUCCAAUUCAAUCUUUUGUUAGUUGGAAUUGCUUCUGUAUAAUACUACUUAUGUAUAACAACAAACAACAAACAAACCCAGUGCAUUCCCACAAAGUGGGGUCUGGGGAGGGUAAGAUGUACGCAGACCAUACCGCUACCUCGAAGAAGUAGAGAGGCUGUUUCCGAUAGACCCCCGGCUCAAGAUAACGCAUAGUAAACAAGGAGUUCGAUGGCAUAACAGAAAAAUACUACUUAUGUAUAGUAGUUACUAAUAUUUCCAAUACUAACAAGGAGUUGUUUAUUUCCACAAAACAAGGAGUUGCUACAUGGAGAAAGUUGUCUAUUUUUUUUUUAAAUGAACAUAUUGUGCGGGCCAACUUUUUGCGCGCCUCAACUAAUUUUACAGGAUACUUGGAACCCUCCCACCAACAAAUAGGAAACUCUGUCCACUCUUGCUAGGAGAAAUGGAAAGGUAGUGUUUUUAUAUCUCUCCUCGGAUUUGAACCUGAGACCUCAUAGUUCUCAACCACUUCAUUGACCAUUAGGUCAACCAUUGGGCGCGAUCAUUGCCCAUCUCUUACAACACCAACAGUACCAUACCAAACAUUAAUUCAGUAUAUCCCCAAAACAUCGUUAAUCCAACAUUAAUCCAGUAGUUCCCAAAAACAGUGUUAAUCCUGUAUCAUGGGUCUUGGGAAGGUUGGAUCAUUGUCCAUUGCUUAAGCCCUAAAAAAUAACGUUAAUCCAGUACUUACCAAAAACAGAUGGAAAUCCUUUAGAUAGGGGUCGUUUGGUAGAAGGGAUAAGGGAUAACUAAUCCCGAGAUUAACUUUAAAAUGAGCUUAUCCCAUGUUUGAUUGGGAUAAAAUGAAUGAGAUAACUCAUCCGGUGAUUAAUUAUCCCGGGAUUAUAGUGUUAUUUGUAUCCUUUCUUGAGGGUGGGAUAGUUAAUCCCAGGAUAACUAGUUUCCCAACCACACGACCCCUAAAAGUUUUAAGGAUCGUAUUUGUUUGGGAUAGAGCCAGAAGGUUAUAUACAGGUUUGGCCUAAUUCAGUAGCUUCAGUCCAAACCUUGUAUUUAUAUCAAGUUCACUAACCAUACACAAAAACUAAAUUUGAACUCAGUCACUAACACCUGAUAUCACUAUCCUAGAAUUUAGAACCCAUCAAAUCGUGGCUUCGCCUUUGUCUUUGAUGUUGUAAUGAAGAUUGGAAAUGGAAGAAUUCAAAUCCACCACCCAAAUACAGAAAUCUUAUCGGGUUAGUAGCAAGAAAAAACUACUGUUUGUUCAGUUCCUAUGCUCAGAGAAAGUAUUUUCUAUCUCAAAAUGUUACAUGUUCUUACAUUUGGUGCAUUCUGUGAAUCAUGACCGAAUUAGCUACAACACACUCUAGCUUCACGAGGAUCCUGUUACCCCUGAACAAAAUUUUAGUGUAUUUUUAUCAUCUUUUUUAGCUGACGUGAUGCCUUUUGUCAAUCUUUUUAGCUGAUGUGACUCCUUUGAUGUGAAUCCUAGUUUAUGUAAUAAAGGUGCUAUGUCAGCACAAAAGAGUGAUAAAAAUAUGCUAAAAUUGAGUUCAGGGGUAUCGGACCCCUAUGAAGUUGGAGUGUGUCGUAGCAACUUUGAUCAAGGUUUGAGGGGCUACUGGAUGCUUAUCUCUUAUUAUAUUUUAAUCCAAUUAUUACUUUACAUUAAGGAUUGACCACAUUUAAUUGUACACUUUUGGUGAUUAAACUUUGAUAAAUAGCUCUAAAAGUAGAGCUUUUGCCAUAAUUGUCCCUCUAUUUGUCCUUCAAAUAUUAGAUAGAAAUGGAAUCCUCCAAAAUUAGGGCCGGAGUAUUAGAAUUGUUCUACUUCAGUAUAGGUACUAUAACCGUAGGUAAAAUAAUAAUCAUUCGGCCGAUUGCUUGGACCAAGUAUGUUAUGUUAAAAUAAUUAUAAAUGUAUAUAUAAAGAAAAAAUUGUUGUCUGUACGUUAUAUUAGAUAAAAAAGUGUUCUUAAUAGAGGGACAUGAUAAUUCACCAUCACAUAACAAUUAAGGAACAAAUUUAAAUUUAGUGUAAUCAACAAAAUUUUGUCAUAAAUAUGAAAAGUCAAAUUAUAUUGAUAUUGAACAUGGAUACAGACUCUAAAUAAGGUAAAGAAAUGAACUACACUAUACAUAAGAAUAAUAACAUCACACAAUUGUUGCAAAUUAAUAAGAACAAAAAAGAUUGUAGUGAAACAAAAGAUGACAAUUUGAUAGUUAAGGAGGAAUAAAAAUUAAAAUCCAUCUAUCAUGAGACUAAUAACACAAUAAUUAUAAACUUUAUGUUUCUAUUAAUAUAUAUAUUUUAGGAUAGCUUAAUUAUUGAUUAUUUUAAUUCUACUUAUCAUAUAUGUUUCUCGUACCAUAUAUAUUUUUGGACUACUAAAUUAUUAAUUUUCCUAAUAUUUUUCUCCAUAUAUGUUUUUCUUACUAUAUAUAUUUUAGAAUUGCUUAGUUAUUAAAUUAUUCUAAAACUAUUUACCAUAUAUGUUUCUCUUACCAUAUAAAUUUUAGGACCACUUAAUUAUUAAAUUUCCUAAUAUUUCUCGCCAUAUAUGUUUUUGUUUAUAUAUAUAUAUACUUAAUUAUUAAAUUAUCCUAAUACUAUUUUCCAUAUAUGUUCACUUACCAUAUAUAUUUUAUAAUUUCAUAAUUUUUCAAAUAUAUGUUUCUAUUGCUAUGUAUAUUUUCGGACUGCUUAUUUAUUAAUUCUCCUAAUACUAUUUACCAGUUACCGUAUAUGUUUCUCUUACCAUAUAUUUUUGUAGGAUUCUUAAUUUUUAGAAUAUGUUUUUUCUCUGACCAUAUGUUUUAGAACAACUUAAUUAUUAAUUUUCCUAAUACUUCUCAUGUAUGUUUCUCUUACCAAAAAACUUCAUAAAAGUGACCAUCCCAUGUGAUUGUUUCAACUAUAAAACUAUGUCCAAUUUCCAUCCAUUUCAACACUAGAUUCAAUCUCGCUAAAACUAUAUGUUCUGAGCUAACACAACAGAGAAUGAUCGACCGCAUCCUCAAGUGAAAGUCUUGAGAGCUUCAUUUGCGAUGCUACGUAGGAAGCUUUCUUGACUUAUGGGAAAAGAUACGAAGGGUUUAUCUCCAAUGAAUGGAAGCCCUUUGAGCGUAUGCUAAAUGGAGUUCUCUUGGAUGUCUAGUAGCCAAAAGAGCAUCAGUUAGCCACUUCUCGAAGGGCUUCCAGUCCAUGGGGGUCAAGCCUUCAAUUCCUUUUCUCAUAAGUCGAGCAAGCACCAAAUGUAGCAUUGAUAAUUCAGCUUUCAAGACCUUCCUUCAGGUUCGACCAAUCAUUGUUUGCUGAAGUUGGCUCAGAAGAUUGUGGAGAACCAUUUGUACUUGGCCAAUAUGUCAUCCAUGCCAUAGCGAAACCAGAGCUUUCAAUCAAAAGGGUUCAAGCAUAUCUCUAUCUAAAUUGCGCAAACUAAAUUAUUUUAGCAUCUGUCUUCUCAUGAAAUUAAAAAAAAAAUGUAGGAAAAUCUAAGGUUUUGAGAUGUAUUUUUUUUACUAGUAACCAACUUUGGUAUCCCUCUAUUGUUUGUCUCCUCUUUUUGUUACUAUCUACUAUCCCUUGUACUUUGAUUAUCACAUUUUUUUUGUUGUUGCUAUUGUUCUUUGAUAUGUGUUUCCUUAAGAUGAGGUUUUAUGGAAAUAACCUCUCUACCUCCUAAGGUGGAGGUAAGGUUACCAACUUUGGGAUCCCAAGAAAGAUUUCGAAAGCUUGUAGAAUAGAAAAUUUUGUUUCAUAUUUAUUGCAAUCUAUUUUGCUCGGAUUCUUAAACAAUGUUAGAUCGAUGUGUGGCGGAUCAUCUAACAAAGAAUUUCACANNNNNNNNNNNNNNNNNNNNNNNNNNNNNNNNNNNNNNNNNNNNNNNNNNNNNNNNNNNNNNNNNNNNNNNNNNNNNNNNNNNNNNNNNNNNNNNNNNNNNNNNNNNNNNNNNNNNNNNNNNNNNNNNNNNNNNNNNNNNNNNNNNNNNNNNNNNNNNNNNNNNNNNNNNNNNNNNNNNNNNNNNNNNNNNNNNNNNNNNNNNNNNNNNNNNNNNNNNNNNNNNNNNNNNNNNNNNNNNNNNNNNNNNNNNNNNNNNNNNNNNNNNNNNNNNNNNNNNNNNNNNNNNNNNUGAUGGACUUGCAUCCACAUUUUCAGGCUUGAUCGGUUACAUAUAUAUGCUUAGUGAAGUUAAAAUAAUUCAGUUAAGAGUGUAUAUAUUCCACAUUCUGUGAACUCUUGUUGAUUCUGGAUUUCGUUCAUGGAAAUGCACUUAAUGUCUUCCAUGAUGGACCAAUAACGGUUACUCUUCUGAGCUAAAUUUCACUUUCGGAACAACUUUGGAUUUGAGUAUAAUAUUGGAACAUUUGUCAUUUAUAUCAUUUGUGUCCAAUAUUAGAAAGGAUCUAAACCUUAAUUUAGUUUUAACCUAUGUCAAUUAUAUCAUUUGUGUUCUACAAAGCUAUAAUAAGCGGCGUUCUACUUUUGCAUGUGUAUGGAACAUGAAACUGUUCCCCUGCGCAGCCUGUAGAAGUAAUUAUAUUUUUUUCUAUAUAGGGGUGUGAAAUUUCUUCACUUGUAUUGUAUUUACCUUCUUGGAUUUAAGUGAAAGUAGUAAAGACACUAGUAAGUGUGUUAACGACAAAUCAUCUGUCUAAAGAUGAAAAAAAAAGGAAACCCAUGUGCUCUUGAUGUUUUUCGAACAAUACAAGAACGCCAGGAAGUUUCUGCUCCUAAUUAUUCUGUAUGGUUUUCGUUUCCAUCUCAUAUGAUGUUAGAACAUCAAUAAAAAGAGAUGUUAUUGAAGGUUAGACAUUCAGUUUGGGUCAAUGUUAUCAAAAGCGAAAAGUGCGCCAAAUCAAAAAGCUCUGACGUCUGUUCGGGUUUUAAGGGCAAAACACAUACAAAGUAUAAGCUUUAAGGGGAUAGGAAAAAGCGCAAAUGAAGAAAAAAAAUACCAAAUGUAUGGACAAAGAAAUUGAAAAAAUAUUUAUGGUUAUCAAUUUUUAUGGACAUGUUUAGUUCAGUUGUUCAGAUGUUUGGUGUGCUCAUUUUCUUGAUAAAUUACUUUUCAUGAUAUUGCCUUAGCUAUUUCUUAUUGGUUAUAUUUACUUCUGAAUAUCCAAGUUUGUUUUUGUAACUAACGUAUUAUGUAUGUCCAUUUUUAAAGAUGAUAUUACUCGUAUAUAGUAUUUACUAAAAUUUCUAAAACCCUAUUGACCUUAUAUAGGAUGGUAUGAAUUUUGUAGUAGCUUUAAGCCAAACCUUUGUAUUUGUAUUAAGUCCACUAACUAUAUACAAAAAUUAAAUUUUAACAAGAACACGAGAUUUAGGAAACAAAGUUGCAACCUAAUAAUAACUUUUAUUACUAUUAUAUUGUGUCACACUUUUCAUUUCCUCUUUUUUGACAAUAUUUUCUUUUGUGAAUUAAUGGUCAAAUCAUGUUCCGCUCAAACAAACAUUAUGACGAAAGCACAAAUAGUUUAAAUGAGACAUUAUAUUUAGGAAGUAAUACUGAAAGGGACUGAUCCCUGUUUGGUAGGACUUAACAAUUUAAAUUAGAUAAGUAAAUAAUCUCAUAUUUCUUAUUCUCAACAAGAACAAGAUCUACUAAUUUAUGCUUCGUUAAAAAUCAAAAAAAGAUGUAAGCUUCUUUCUGACUAGAGCUGCAAGUUUUGCAAACUUUCGUAUUUCACUAUGUACGCAAUUAGAUUUGAUGUUUUGCUACAUCGCUAAAAGAAUCAGAGCGAUAACGACAGUUUUUCUAAUGGUAUUGCGUCAGUUUAGCGGACGCUACAUACAUUAAUGGUGGUUUGGAAAAGCGUCAUAAUUACGUUUGCCACAAAGAUAUUGUGGCGGUUUUGCUAAAAUCACUAUAAUUAUAAUUAGUAAAAACGAUAGUUUAUGGUUUUAUAUUACAACCAUUACCAUCGCCGCUAUUUUAUAUACUAACAUUGCAUUAAAUGACAGUUUUAAACCACCAUAAUGUUCGAUGAGGACUCGCAUGGUCUGCGUUAGCAUUAGGUGAUUGAGCACUGCCUCUUAUAUCUUGUUCCUACAAAAUAAUAAUUGACACGACAAAAAUUAAGUGCCAUUCCGCAUUCUUUGUGUCUGAUUCAAGUUGCUUGGAUAGUUAUGGUAUCAGCAUUUCAUGUUCUUAUCAUUGAUAUGAACGAACUAAAAUUUAAUGUGGUGAAUAAAAUCUUGUCAUUGAUAUGAAAAGCCAAAAUUAUAUUGAUAUUGAACAUGAUUACAGACUCUAAAUAAGGUAAAGAAAUCGACUACAUUAUAAGAAUAAUAACAUAACACAAUUGUAGCAAAUUAAUAAUAACAAAAAAUACUAUAGUGAAAUAAAAGAUGACAAUUUGAUAGUUAGGGAGGAAUAAAAAUUAAAACCCAUCUAUCUAGAGACUAAUAACACAAUAGUUAUAAACUUAAUGUUUCAAUUACUAUAUAUACUUUAGGAUUUUUUCAGGCAUAAUCCAUAAAGUAUAAACAAGACCUUUAACAUGACACCAAAUUCUAACUAUGACUUUUAACUUUACCAGUGCACAAGUAGGCUGUAAUGCCCCAAGAGUACACCCUGGGCGCCACACGGUGCUUACAGUCUCGAGGGACCACAAGUUAACCCAUGAGCUGGUACCUGCUGUGGGAACUGAAUAAUAUAAUAACAUAUGCGGAAAAGCAACUGUUAAGCCAUAAUGUUUUAUGUAAAGAAACUUAUAGAACCUAUAGACCAAACUAAUAAUAUUACUGGUAAAAUAUCUGACAAUGUCAACUGAAGUCCGAAUACUAAAUAACUGACUGUAGUGUCCGAAAGCCUCUAGACUGACUAAAUAUGAGUUGAUGGGACAGGCCCCAACUAACCUCAACUAACUACUGAACUGAAAACAUAAAGAAAAAAUGCUCUGUCCUCAAAACUAUGAGGAUUCACCCCUGCAACGGCUGAUGGUCUGGAAAAUCUAUGUGCGAUCCGGGUACUAGGCGUUCGAACCUAUGAUAUGAUACAUCAUAGCACAAGAAAAGAGUAUGCGAUCAGUACUUAGAAUGUAUUGGUAUGCUAAAUAAGGUAGGCUGAUAUGCAUGGUUUCAUGAACAUGAAUAAUAACUAUCUGAAUUUAUGCAUGCAAUAAGAAGUACUGAGUAGAGUACAUGAAAUCUGUAGAUACUGUGGAUACGUGAAAUCUGUAAAUACUGAUGAUGCAUGAAAUUUGUAAGAGCUGAGGAUGCAUGACCAAUCGUAUAAGAUGUUCUGAAUAUAAUCUGUAAAUAUUGAAAUGCUGAAAUCUAAUAACUGAAUCACUGAUAUCUGUAUGCUAUAGUCAAGCAACCGAAAUUGAGUUACUGGACUGAUUACUGGACUGAGACUGUGGGAGCUAUCAUCUAACCGACAUGUCCCAAUUUGAACUAAUUGCAGUCCAACCUGUAACCCUAUGUCACGACCAAAAUGACCAUGAGUGGCGCCCACAUUAAUCCUUCUGUGCGAGAACCAUCUAAUCCGAACCAUAACCCAAUCACUUAGUUAAUAUUAAGAUGAUAUUUCAUAAAAUCAACAUUGUAACAAUAAUUUAGAACUAAUCAUUAAUUAUGCAAAAAUCCAACAAAGUCAUUACUAAAACCCCCAAGACCCAAAAGUCAUCGUACAAGAACUACUAACAAAGAUCAUGUCUAAAGAGAUAUCCAAAAAUAAAGUAAAUAAAUAAUAUUUCAUCGCCCAAAAGAUGGACAAGAACAAAUAAGAUGAUCCGUGGUAGCAUGGAGAUGGAGUGCUCAUCCUUGGAUUAAGAUCUGCUAUCAGACUCUAGAGGUGAGGUCAUGCCUGAGCCUCUAGAACACUUUUUGCACUCAACAAAAGAAGAAUACAGGGUAGUAUCAGUACAAAUCACUAUGUACUGGUAGGUAUUAUAGGGUAACUCAAUUUAAUAACAUGUACACAACAUAAAAUCAAAUAACAAGUGGACAGGCCUCAUCACACAAUAAUUACUAAAUGAAUCAAUAAUACAAAAAUAACAGAACAAAUAUUACUCACAAAGAAGCCACAUAACCAUCAAGAGUAUCAACCAUACUGUAAACAUCCACAGACUCAACACAAAUAUGUACACACAUGCUAUGAGACUUAUUUUUUUCCAAAUAGUCAGGUUCUGUAGGCGAACAAUCUAUGUUCUUGUACCAUACCGGCGUAGUACCCGAUUCAACGUAUACAUAUCCGUACCGGCAUGGUACCCGAUCCAAAAUAAACAUAUAUGUAUCGGUGUGGUACCCGAUCUAACAUAUAAAUAUCCGUACCAGUGUGGUACUCGAUCCAACAUAAAUAUAUUCGUACCGGCAUGGUACCCGAUCCAAUAUACACAUAUCCGUACUAGAGUGGUAGCCGAUCCAACAUAAUCAUAUCCGUACCAACGUGGUACCCAAUCGAACAUAUAAAUACCCGUACCGGAGUUGUAUCCGAUCCAACAUAAAGAUAUUCGUACCGGUGAGGUAUCCGAUCCAACAUAAACAUAUUCGUACUAGUGUGGUACCUGAUCCAACAUAAACAUAUCCGUACCAGCAUGUUACCCAAUCCAAUAUAAAUAUAUUCGUACCGGCGUGGUACCCGAUCCAACAUAUACAUAUCCGUACUGGUGUGGUACCUAAUCGAACAUAAUCUUAGCCGUACUGGCGUGGUACCCGAUCCAACAUAAAAAAGUAUUAUCAAUAUCAAAUUUACACAAACCCCACAGCAUACAACAUAAUGUACCAAGGUUUACAAGUACACUUAAAGUCAUAAGACAAUUCCAUCAAGUAAACUUUGAAUAAUCAUUUAUACACGCAUCAUUAAUUCUCACAUCAACAAUUUCAAGCAUGUCCGAAUACCAAUAAACAAGUAUCCAAUUUAAUAGAAUACAUGCAAUAAAUUCGAUUCUAAACUCCAAUUAAAUUAUAACUGUAAUACCCCGGAAAAUUUUUCGUUCGAAUUUUGUGCGUAAACGUGUUGGGUUCUAUAUUCUAGAAUGAAUUAUAAAUUGUUCGUGUGGAAUGUCUUAGAUUAUGAUCCAUCAUUGUGUAGAGUAUCAAAUAAGCUUUCCAACGAUAUGUGGAUCAUCCAAAACGAACACCCGAGCGACGAGUUAUGAACAUUCUGAUCGAACUGUGAAUAGUAGUGAACAGUAAAACGUGCAAGAAAAAGUACUGAGGCCUGGCGUAUUUUUUCUCCUAAGUUAAACGAUUAUAACUCCUUGUCCAUAAUGAUCUGGGUAAUCUACUAUAUAUCAAAGAAAUCUAUGCGAGUCCUCUUUCCAAUGAAAUUGGUUUCAUCCAAUUUGUAGCAAAAAGUUAUUGUUGAUCUACUUCAGCCUAUCAAAAGCGAAUUUUUGGGUGAACUUCAAACGAUCAUAACUCCUCGUACCCAAUGAUCUGUGUGAGAUACUAUCUACCAACGGAAAGAUAUGAGAGUCCUCUUUGUAAUUAAUUGGUUUCAUCCAAUUUAGAUAUCGGAGUAAACUGUUAGGGUUGAUCUACUUCAGACUAUCAAAACAGUCCACCAAAGGACAGAUUCAAGAAUUAUUUGAUUUUUUAGGGGCGAUUUGGUCAUUCCCCCUCAUCCAAAAUCCAUCCAAACCCUAUAUUAAAGCCUAUUGGAAGCAUUAUAUGUUAUAUUUCAUCAAGUUCUCUCAAAAAGAAAACCCUAAGCUCCUACAUCCAACUUCAAGAACCUCCAAAGUUCACCAUUCAUUCUGCAAAUUUAUUCAAGAUUCCAAGUUCCUAGUUCAAGAACUCCAAGUGCCAUCAUUAAAAGGCACGAUUAAUAUCUCAAAAACGAGUAUCGAUCUAAAGUUCAUCAUUCAAGGUAUGUGGGGUUUUUCAAAAAGAACUCUCUUUCGUUCUUGUUCCCAAAAGUAAUUUUCUUUACAAAGACAUAAUUUUUAUUUGAUUUUUAUGAAUUUGAAGCAUGAAACCAUAUCUUAUGAUGAUUAUUAUGAAAUCUUGAUGUUUAUGAUUUUGAAAGAUAAAUUUACAAGUGUGGAGAUAUAUAGCAUGAAUCUUGAACAAUAUUUAUCAUGAUUUUGAUAUUUGGGUGGUGAAUCCCUAUUGGAAAUUGUGUGUUCUUUUGAGAAAGUGUGUGUUAUAAGCACGUUGAUGUUGAAUAUUUGAGAUAUUUUUAAUGAUUUGACCUUUUGAUCUUAAUGAAGUUGUUUUGAACUCGAGUUUGAAAGAAAUCCACAACAUGGUUGAUUUUGAUAAAUGGGAAGCAUGAUGGCUCCUGAUGUAUAUUUAUAUAUUACUGAAAUUUGAUAUCGAUAGUCCUACUCCGAUGGCAAGGAUAGGACGGCUCUUCCCAACGUGGGUUGUACGUUGGACUCCAUGUAGCUCACAUGGUUUAUGUCGGUUAUAGGAUCUCCCAGUGUGUGUUUCCUUGUGUCUAUGGUGAAUGGUGAAGUGAUUUGAAAGUGGAAUUGUGAAAGUUAUUAUUUCAAAUGAUUUAAAUGAUAUUUACAUUAUAAGAAUUGAUAUUCUUGAUAAACUGCAAGUGAUUGACAAAUUAUAUGAUGACUCACAUAUGUUAUUGUACUUAUUUCAUCCUCUCAUGAUUAUGAUGAUUUUCUUUGGGAUAUGUGAGUGUUUCAUACAUCCUGCAUAUUUCUUAUAAUUAUUUAUGAUGAUAAUGUUUAUACAACUGCAUACACCCCCAUAUACUCAGUUUCUUUCCAUAGUAUUGACCCACAUCUUCAAAUGUGGGCUGCAUUUUCUCGGAAUAAAGGUUAAGGUGCUCAGUUCCGGUUCAACAGUGAUUCUUCAGGCAAGCUGUUCUAUAUCCUCUGUUGUGGUGAGUCCUCAUGUUCCGAAGACGUGAUGUCUGAUGUUGGUUUCAUGGAAUUGUUUACAUUUGAUAACUAAGUAUGAGUCAGUUGGGGCAUGUCUCAUUGGCUCACUGGUUUUAUUGAUUUUCAUAGAAGCUUGUCAGACUAGUAUAGAUGUUGGGAGUUGGCUAAUAAGUCGUAGUUGUUAUCUUUCUAAAAUUCUGUUAUUCUUGGAUGAUGAUUACUCUGUUGAUAUUUGAGGGUUGUUUAUGGAAACCCCAUUAAUUUGUGUUGAACUAAAUGAAAAUGGCUCAAAGGUUUAGCUUGGGGCUAAUCGUAGCCUCAAGCACCAUGUGAUACUCCGAGACUGGUUUUCUGGGACGCUACAAACUUGGAAUUUGAUCCUAAGGUUUUAAGGUGUCCAAGGGAGUCUGACAAGCCGCGUUAAGUAGAGUUUUGAUCAUCGGUGUGUAGCGCGCCACAUCUAUGAGCAAGAGGCGACAAGACAUUUUAGGAAAAAGUGUGAUUCUUUCUUUCAGAAGUCUAUCAUGCUUAAAGUGUAUCUCUCUGCUAUUGAUUCGUGCUCUCCUCUUUCAAAAAUAUGCCUCCACGUCGAGCGAGAAGAAAUAAUGAUGGUCAGCAACCUCAACCCGCUGACCCAUUGAAUGGAAAUGUAUCUCAUACUGAAUUUUGGGCAGCCUUUUAGGCACUGGCCCAAGCUGUUGCUACGAUUAUUCUGGCCAACCCAGCCCUGGCUCCACAGUAGUAGGGAGGUGAUUCAGCUGCUUCCAGGAUCUGUGACUUCAUGCAGAUUAAUCCGUUGGAAUUCUAUGGGUCCAAGUCUGAAAAGGAUCCACGAUUAUUUUUAGAGGAGGUGCAGAAGAUUACUCAAGUGAUGCAUGUAUCUGAUGAAGAUACUGUGGAUUUGGAUGCGUAUAGGUUGAAAGACCAUGCUUAUGACUGGGUUGUUGCUUGGAGGAAAGGUAGAGGUGAGGGAGCUGUCCCUAUAACUUGGCAAGAGUUCCAGGAUAUAUUUCCAAAUAAGUUUUUCCCUUCGGAGAUGAGGGAGGCGAAGGUGGAAGAUUUUAUGAACCUGCGAUAGGGCUCUAUGACUAUUAGGGAGUACUGUCUAAAGUUCAAUCAGUUGGCCAAGUAUGCUCCUGACUUAGUGGUUGACAAUCGGGCUAGUAUGAGUAAGUUUGUGACUGGAGUGUCUAUUUAUGUGGUUAAGAAGUGUAGGUCUUCUAUGCUGAAUAGUGAGAUGAAUCAUUCUAAGAUGAUGAUUCAUGACCAACAGAUUGAGGUAGAUAAGACUAAGGAAAGAGAUAGAAUGAGAGGAAAUAAGAGCGCUAGGUCCGAGCAGCGCAGAUAGGGUCAGACUAGAUCGCAGGGAGGGAGUCGUCCUCAGUAUCAGGAUCGUUCAUGUAAGCCAUCACAGUCAUCUGCUAGUGCUCCUGUUCCUAGAAGUAGCCAGGAGUAAGAUAGCAGGUCAUAUGCAUCUAGGUCCCAGUACAGUGCUGGCAGUAAGCCAUAUUGUCCCUUGUGUCCUAAGUGUGGUAGGACUCAUUCGGGUGAGUGUUGGGGUGAGAAGAGGGGUUGUUUCCAGUAUGGUGACAUGGGUCACAGAGUUAGAGAUUGUCCACAGGAUGGACAAGGGCGUCAUGACUAUCGCCCUCAGACCUAGACUCAGACUGUUAGUGCUCCAGUUCCAGCGACUCGCCCAGCCCCAGCUCAGGGCGCCUCUUCUAGCAAUGCUGGUAGGCAGCGCCAGAAUAGAUUCUAUGUUUUACCGUCCCACCAUGAACAGAAGGACUCUCCUGAUGUUGUUACGUGUAUGCUUUGUAUAUUUUAGUUUGAUGUGUAUGCUUUGUUGGGGCCUGGAUCCAGUUUCUUAUAUGUCACACCUUUGAUUGCUUUGAAUUUUGAAAUGAGUCCUAAGAUUAUUCCUAAGCCUAUCCUAGUUUCUACCCCAGUGGGUGAUUCGAUUGUUGCCCAGAAAGUGUAUAAAAAGUGUCCUGUUACCGUUAUUCAUAGAGUUUUGUUGGCUGAUCUGAUUGAGUUUGACAUGGUAUAUUUUGAUGUGAUUCUGGGUAUGGAGUGACUGUAUUUUUCUUAUGCCUCUAUUGAUUGUCGGACCCGAGUGGUCAAGUUGCAGUUUCUGGGUGCAUCCGUAUUUGAGUGGUCUGGGAAUUCUGUGUCACGCAAGAGUCAUUUUAUCUCUUACCUCAAAGCUAGAAAGCUUAUUUCCGAGGGGUGUAUUUACCAUUUGGUUAGAUUCAAAGACACUAAGUCUGAGACUCGAACUCUCCAGUUUGUUAACGUCGUCAAUGAGUUUUCUGAUGUCUUUCCGGAUGAUCUCCUAGGGAUACCUCCUGAUAGAGAGAUAAAGUUUGGGAUUGAUCUUUUUCCUGAUACUCAGCCCAUUUCUAUUCCUUCUUACCAUAUGGACCAUGCAGAACUUAAGGAGUUGAAAGAGCAACUCAAAGAUCUACUAGAUAAGGGGUUCAUAAGGCCCAGUGUUUCUUCUUGGGGUGCUCCUGCAUUGUUUGUGAGAAAGAAAGAUGGCUCUUUGCAUAUGAGCAUUGAUNNNNNNNNNNNNNNNNNNNNNNNNNNNNNNNNNNNNNNNNNNNNNNNNNNNNNNNNNNNNNNNNNNNNNNNNNNNNNNNNNNNNNNNNNNNNNNNNNNNNNNNNNNNNNNNNNNNNNNNNNNNNNNNNNNNNNNNNNNNNNNNNNNNNNNNNNNNNNNNNNNNNNNNNNNNNNNNNNNNNNNNNNNNNNNNNNNNNNNNNNNNNNNNNNNNNNNNNNNNNNNNNNNNNNNNNNNNNNNNNNNNNNNNNNNNNNNNNNNNNNNNNNNNNNNNNNNNNNNNNNNNNNNNNNNNNNNNNNNNNNNNNNNNNNNNNNNNNNNNNNNNNNNNNNNNNNNNNNNNNNNNNNNNNNNAGUGUUCAGACCAUAUCUGGAUAUGUUUGUCAUAGUGUUCAUCGAUGAUAUACUAGUGUACUCCCGUAGUGAGGAUGAACAUUCUGAUCAUCUCCGAACUGUCUUGCAAACCCUUAGAGACCACAAGUCGUUUUCCAAGUUCAGUAAGUGUGAGUUUUGGCUAAGGUCAGUUGCUUUUCUGGGUCAUAUCAUUUCUUUCGAGGGUAUUAGAGUUGAUCGCCGAAAGACCGAAGCUGUUAAAAAUUGGCCUAGACCUAUUUCUCUGAAUGAUAUCCGAAGUUUCUUAGGUUUAGCUGGCUAUUACCGCCGUUUUAUUGAUGGCUUCUCCUUUAUAGCGUCUCCUAUGACUCGGUUGACCCAAAAGAAAGUGAAGUUCUUAUGGUUCAAAUCUUGUGAGAAGAGUUUUUGGGAGUUGAAUACUCGACUCACUUCAGCCCCUGUUUUGACUUUGCCUGAUGGUGUUGAUAGUUUUGUGGUGUACUGUGAUGCUUCGAGAGUUGGGUUGGGUUGCGUAUUGAUACAGAAGGGUAAGGUGAUAGCUUGUCAUUCUAGACAGUUGAAACCCCAUGAGAAAAAUUACCCACCCAUGACCUUGAGUUGGCUGCUGUUGUGUUUUCUUUGAAAAUCUGGAGACACUAUUUGUAUAGUGUCCAUGUUGAUGUUUUCACUGAUCAUAAGAGUUUGCAGUAUGUGUUUAACUAGAGAGAAUUGAAUNNNNNNNNNNNNNNNNNNNNNNNNNNNNNNNNNNNNNNNNNNNNNNNNNNNNNNNNNNNNNNNNNNNNNNNNNNNNNNNNNNNNNNNNNNNNNNNNNNNNNNNNNNNNNNNNNNNNNNNNNNNNNNNNNNNNNNNNNNNNNNNNNNNNNNNNNNNNNNNNNNNNNNNNNNNNNNNNNNNNNNNNNNNNNNNNNNNNNNNNNNNNNNNNNNNNNNNNNNNNNNNNNNNNNNNNNNNNNNNNNNNNNNNNNNNNNNNNNNNNNNNNNNNNNNNNNNNNNNNNNNNNNNNNNNNNNNNNNNNNNNNNNNNNNNNNNNNNNNNNNNNNNNNNNNNNNNNNNNNNNNNNNNNNNNNNNNNNNNNNNNNNNNNNNNNNNNNNNNNNNNNNNNNNNNNNNNNNNNNNNNNNNNNNNNNNNNNNNNNNNNNNNNNNNNNNNNNNNNNNNNNNNNNNNNNNNNNNNNNNNNNNNNNNNNNNNNNNNNNNNNNNNNNNNNNNNNNNNNNNNNNNNNNNNNNNNNNNNNNNNNNNNNNNNNNNNNNNNNNNNNNNNNNNNNNNNNNNNNNNNNNNNNNNNNNNNNNNNNNNNNNNNNNNNNNNNNNNNNNNNNNNNNNNNNNNNNNNNNNNNNNNNNNNNNNNNNNNNNNNNNNNNNNNNNNNNNNNNNNNNNNNNNNNNNNNNNNNNNNNNNNNNNNNNNNNNNNNNNNNNNNNNNNNNNNNNNNNNNNNNNNNNNNNNNNNNNNNNNNNNNNNNNNNNNNNNNNNNNNNNNNNNNNNNNNNNNNNNNNNNNNNNNNNNNNNNNNNNNNNNNNNNNNNNNNNNNNNNNNNNNNNNNNNNNNNNNNNNNNNNNNNNNNNNNNNNNNNNNNNNNNNNNNNNNNNNNNNNNNNNNNNNNNNNNNNNNNNNNNNNNNNNNNNNNNNNNNNNNNNNNNNNNNNNNNNNNNNNNNNNNNNNNNNNNNNNNNNNNNNNNNNNNNNNNNNNNNNNNNNNNNNNNNNNNNNNNNNNNNNNNNNNNNNNNNNNNNNNNNNNNNNNNNNNNNNNNNNNNNNNNNNNNNNNNNNNNNNNNNNNNNNNNNNNNNNNNNNNNNNNNNNNNNNNNNNNNNNNNNNNNNNNNNNNNNNNNNNNNNNNNNNNNNNNNNNNNNNNNNNNNNNNNNNNNNNNNNNNNNNNNNNNNNNNNNNNNNNNNNNNNNNNNNNNNNNNNNNNNNNNNNNNNNNNNNNNNNNNNNNNNNNNNNNNNNNNNNNNNNNNNNNNNNNNNNNNNNNNNNNNNNNNNNNNNNNNNNNNNNNNNNNNNNNNNNNNNNNNNNNNNNNNNNNNNNNNNGAAAGAAGGGGAAGCUUAGUCCCCAUUAUGUUGGUCCUUACAAAAUUCUUAGACGUGUUGGUAAGGUAGCUUAUGAGGUCGAGUUGCCUUCCGAGUUGUCCUCUGUUCAUCCAAUAUUCCAUGUCUCCAUGCUUAGAAAGCAUAUUAGCGAUGCUGUGGUAGUGGAUUCCUCUGUGAGUGCUGAAAUUCAAGAAAAUCUUUCUUCUGAUGAGAUUCUUGAUUUUUGUGUCCGAAGACUAAGGAACAAAGAAGUUCCCUUGGUCAAGGUUUUGUGGCGAAACCAAUCUGUUGAGGGUGCAACUUGGAAAGCUGAGGUGGAUAUGUAAUCCAAGUACCCGCACCUAUUUUCCGCAAACUCCGAUCAAUCUAAAGGUACCCUUCUUUCCUAAAUCAUGCACUUUUGAUAAAAGUUGCAGCAGUUCAGCUGUCAUUUAUUAUGUGUUCAUCUGUAGUUUCUUGAAUUUAUGCAUUCUAUGUUGCAUUCGGAGUGAGAAACGAUGUGAUGAUGAGUCUAACGAAUGGUUUCAGUUGUAUGCUCUAUUCCCUGUCUAAUCUUGGCAUGUCUAGCAUCAUUCGAGGAUGAAUGUUUUCAAGGGGGGAUGAUGUAAUACCCCGGGAAAUUUUUCGUUGAAAUUUUGUGCAUAAACGUGUUGGGUUCUAUCUUCUAGAAUGAAUUAUAAAUUUUUCGUGCAAAAUGUCUUAGAUUAUAACCCAUCAUUGCGUAGAGUAUCGAAUAAUAUUUCCAACGAUAUGUGGAUCAUCCAAAACGGACACCCGAGCGACGAGUUAUGAACAUUCCAAUCGAACCGUGAAUAGUAGUGAACAGUAAAACGUGCAGGAAAAAGUACUGAGGCCUGGCAUAUUUUUGCUCCAAAUUUAAAUGAUCAUAACUUGUUGUACAUAAUGAUCUGCGUGAUCUAAUCUAUAUCAACGGAAAACUCAGCGAGUUCUCUUUCCAAUGAAAUUGGUUUCACCCAAUUUGUCUAUCAGAGCAAAAAGUUAUGGUCGAUCUACUUCAACCUAUCGAAAGCAAAUUUUUGGGUCAACUUCAAACGAUCAUAACUUCCCGUACACAAUGAUCUGGGUGAGAUACUAUAUAUUAACGGAAAAAUAUGAGAGUCCUCUUUCUAAUGAAAUUGGUUUCAUCCAAUUUGGAUAUCGAAGCAGAACGUCAUGGUUGAUCUACUUAAGACUAUCAAAAUAGUCCACCAGAGAACAGAUUCGAGAAUUAUUUAAUUUUUUAGGGGCGUUUUGGUCAUUCCCCCUCACCCAAAAUCCAUCCAAACCCUAUAUUAAAGCCUAUUAGAAGCAUUAUAUGUUAUAUUUCAUGAAAUUCCCUGAAAAAGAAAACCGUAAGCUCCUACAUCCAACUUUAAGAAUCUCCAAAGUUCACCAUUAAUUCUGCAAAUUUAUUCAAGAUUCCAAGUUCAAGAACUCCAAGAACCAUCAUUCAAAGGCACGAUUAACAUCUCAAAAAUGAGUAUCGAUCUAAAGUUCAUCAUUCAAGGUAUGUGGGGNNNNNNNNNNNNNNNNNNNNNNNNNNNNNNNNNNNNNNNNNNNNNNNNNNNNNNNNNNNNNNNNNNNNNNNNNNNNNNNNNNNNNNNNNNNNNNNNNNNNNNNNNNNNNNNNNNNNNNNNNNNNNNNNNNNNNNNNNNNNNNNNNNNNNNNNNNNNNNNNNNNNNNNNNNNNNNNNNNNNNNNNNNNNNAAUUUUCUUUACAAAGGCAUGAUUUUUAUUUGAUUUUUACGAAUUUGAAGCAUGAACCCAUAUCUUAUGAUGAUUAUUAUGAAAUCUUGAUGUUUAUGAUUUUUAAAGAUGAAUUUACAUGUGUGCAGAUAUAAAGUAUGAAUCUUGAAUGAUAUUUAUCAUGAUUUUGAUAUUUGGGAGAAAUCUUUAGCACCGAGUAGGAGGUAUAAAGCAAUCUUACUUCCCUAGAACUACGUGCCCCUGUAGGAGUGAGCCUGAGGUUGAUUUAUAUAGUGAUCACUAGUUUGUGUGGAUUUGAUAUAGAUAGUCCUACUUCGAUGGCAAGGAUAGGACGGCUCUCCCCAACGUGGGUUGUACAUUGGACUCCAUGUAGCUCACAUGGUUUAUGUCGGUUAUAGGAUCUCCCAGUGUGUGUGUGUUUCCUUGUGUCUACGGUGAAUGAUGAAGUGAUUUGAAAGUAGAAUUGUGAAAGUUAUUCUUNNNNNNNNNNNNNNNNNNNNNNNNNNNNNNNNNNNNNNNNNNNNNNNNNNNNNNNNNNNNNNNNNNNNNNNNNNNNNNNNNNNNNNNNNNNNNNNNNNNNNNNNNNNNNNNNNNNNNNNNNNNNNNNNNNNNNNNNNNNNNNNNNNNNNNNNNNNNNNNNNNNNNNNNNNNNNNNNNNNNNNNNNNNNNNNNNNNNNNNNNNNNNNNNNNNNNNNNNNNNNNNNNNNNNNNNNNNNNNNNNNNNNNNNNNNNNNNNNNNNNNNNNNNNNNNNNNNNNNNNNNNNNNNNNNNNNNNNNNNNNNNNNNNNNNNNNNNNNNNNNNNNNNNNNNNNNNNNNNNNNNNNNNNNNNNNNNNNNNNNNNNNNNNNNNNNNNNNNNNNNNNNNNNNNNNNNNNNNNNNNNNNNNNNNNNNNNNNNNNNNNNNNNNNNNNNNNNNNNNNNNNNNNNNNNNNNNNNNNNNNNNNNNNNNNNNNNNNNNNNNNNNNNNNNNNNNNNNNNNNNNNNNNNNNNNNNNNNNNNNNNAUGAUUACUCUGUUGAUAUUUGAGGGUUGUUUAUGGAAACCCCGUUGAUUUGUGUUGAACUGAAUGAAAAUGGCUCAAAGGGUUAGCUUGGGGCUACUCAUAGCCUCAAGCACCGUGUGACGCUCCGGGACCCAUUUUCUGGGGCGUUACAGUAACCUACUCAAUUGAAGAAAUCAAAUACAAGCUACCUUGCAAGAGUCUUGCACUUCCGUAAAGCUUCCAAAUAUUUCAAUUUGUUUCAAUAUAUAAUUUCCAUAAUAAUACAAAUCUAUUGGCACCUAUUUACAAAUUCUUACUCUAAAAGUCCUAAACCUAAACCUCAAUUUCUCUAAUUCCAGAUUAUGGAGCAAAGUACGAAAAAAAUAAAUAAACAGGAAAUAAAAACUGUACUUAUCGCCAUCAAAUUAAUCUAAAGCAGUGACCUAAUUCUAAUUGAUGUCAAUAAUUGGCUCAUCACCCAAAACAUAAUUAAUUUGUUUUUUAUUUUCCACUAACUAAUUGUUACCAAGAAACUUUGGCAGCAACAUUAAGAUCCUAUUGGCAGUAACAAAUAUUGACCAAUUGUUAGACACUUUAGGCAUUAACAUUCUCUCCAAACUGUCAAUAAUUAGAAUAAUUAUAUAAUUAUAGAAAAAGUAACACUUGAUAAUUUAAAACUUAAUUUAUACAAAAUUCAACCCAUUUAUUUUAACAUGGUAGUGAACGGCUCACCUUAGCGUGCCUACGCUAUCGAUAACCCCUCCUACAACCAUUGUGAUGGAAAACUGCCCCUAGUGCGUGACUCUCUCCUUGCCCUAAAUAUCUGACUCUAUUAUUAUUAUAGAUGAUAAAUCUUAACCACUUAAUUUUAUUUUUAUAUUGACCACAUAAGUUAAUAAAUUGCUAUUUUAACGCAUUAAUUUAUUAAUUAAAUAAUUAUUUAAAAUAUUCAAAACUUUCACACAACUCAAGCAUUGAUAUUACUUAUCUGUGAGUCAUAAUUUACGUACAUAAACUACAGGGAGAGCUAGAAUAAAAAAGAGGAAAUGAUUUCCCAAACGACCGGGAGGGUCAUUACACCCUAGUUGGAAGGGUGUUAGUACCGUGCCAUGGGUACCAACGCCGGCUGUGUGAAUUUACUACACUAAUUUACUAUCUCGAAGGACUAAGGAUGUCAAGCUAACGGGUGACCCCUGUGAGAUAAUCAAGCCUAAACUGACGGGUGACUCCUCAUAUCCUACGCUGGCUACGUAGUUCCAGAGUUCAGGGACUAAUACUAAUGACUCCGCCUAUCUAACGGGGAAGACGCCAUUUCUGUCCUCGCUCGGUGCUAAAUCCUACUCCCAACUGAACUAACUCGGAAUACUGAACUGUUAUGAUUUUAACUGAUUUUGAUGACUGGCUGAACUGAUAUUGCUCAUAUUAUGUCUGAAACUAUUCUGAAUUUACUGAGACUAAAUAAAUAGCUAUGUUUUUCGGUUAUUCAUAACUCCUAGGACUAGAUAGUAAUAAUAGUAAAAUAGAACUAAACUUGAUGGACCAAAUAUGAAAGCAUUCAUUCAAGAUCCACUCUUGCAGGUAUUUCAUCAAAUACUUGACAUACAUGUUGUAAAUUAAGCAUAGGAAUGAUUUAGAACCUGUAGUAAAAUCUUGAUUUCAACACCAACAUCACUAGUCAUGAAUUAAAUUAGUAACCAACAACAUUUAAAUACGCAGAGCAUAAUAAUCAACAUCAAUUUCAUGAAAACAUAGUAUAGGACAAGGUUCAUGAGAAUUCAUGGUUAAAAUCUCAAUUAAAAAUCAUAAUUUUUUGUAAAGAUCACAAUUUGAAUUUAAAACAUGGUACUUGGAUUCCAUGGGUGAAAGAAUCCCAUUAAUGAAGACUUAGCAUACCUAGGUGACGAAUUCUUGAAGUUUCUUGGGGAAAUUCUUGAUAAUUGCUCUAGAUUCUUGAAGGCUAGAGUUUUGCUAAUUAAGAGUGAUCUUCAAUUUGAAAAAAAUUGAGUGAAUAAUGACUUAACUAGGUUAUUUAGGGGUUAAUUUAUGUGUUUUGACUGAUUAGGGCCGUGGAAAAAAUUAAAUUACCCUUGAAAGAAUUUAAAUUUUCGUCACUGAAAGUUCCAAUUUUGGCCUUCACCGCAACGCAGUGAGCCACUAAAAGUCGGCUGAAACUAUUCAAAAAUGGACAACUGCGAAUUGUCUUUUGGCGCGACGCACCUUUAUCGUGGAGCCUCACUGAAAAGUGACAAUUCUUAAAAUGGACAUUGGCGCGAUGCAGCGCCACCGCGGUGUCUCACUGAAAAAUGACAAUUGGGAAAAUACCCAUUGGCCCGAUGCGGUGCUUUCGCAUUGACACACUGAAAAAUAGAAAUUAGGACCUGGAACUUCACCGUGACGCGGUGGUGCUCAAUUUGGCAUGCUGCUUUACUUAAAGUGUCAUAACUUCUCACCCGAAUAUCAGAUUUGGGUAAAUUUUAUAUCGUUGAAAAGCUAAUUCAAUUUUCUACCAUCUGGUGGAUCUACAUCUGGAAAAUUCUAAGUGCACUAAAAAUUCAACAUAAAACUCUUGUACACUAAGAGCGGACCUGAGUCAGAAAAGCACGGGGUAUUACAUAGGCCCUUUAACUAUAAUAAAGUUGAACGAAAAAAUACUUCAAUUCUACCUGGCAAAAUGAGUGUAUACACUUAAAACCAAAUGUGUCAGAGUUAAAAUUGAAGUAUUUUUUUUUUCAGCUUUUGUAUAGUUAAAGGGUUACUUGUGCAUGAUAAAGUUAAAGGUCAUAGUUAUUAUGUGUCUUUUUUAUUAGGUGACAUCAUAUGAGUGGAUUACUAAUCCAUGUAGGAGCUAUUGGGUUUCACGCAUUUAAGUUAGAGAAUUGGAGUAUUUUUUUGUUCAACUUUUAUAUAGUUAAAGGGUCUACUUGUUCAUUGGAAAAGCUAAAGGGCAUUGUAUUGUUUGGUUCAAUUUAUAGAUCCUGUUUAUGUAUUAUGCCAUUGUUUAGUUAUUAAUUCUCCUAAUACUACCUACCUUACAUGUUUCCAUUACUAUAUAUAUUUUAGGAUUGCUUCACUAUAAAUUAUUUUAAUUCUAAUCAUAUAUGUUUCUCUUAUCAUAUAUAUUUUAGGACUACUUAAUUAUUAAUUUUUCUAAUGUUUCUCUCCAUAUAUGUUUUUCUAACUAUAUAUAUUUUAGAGUUGCUUAAUUAUUAAAUUAUUCUAAAACUAUUUACCAUAUAUGUUUGUCUUACCAUAUAAAUUAUAUAUUAGAAAUGCUUAGUUGUUAAAUUAUCCUAAUACUAUUUACCAUAUAUAUUUCUUAAUUGUUCAAAUAUAUGUUUCUAUUGUCAUGUAUAUUUUAGGACUACUUAUUUAUUAAUUCUCCUAAUACUACUUACCAAUUACCAUCUAUGUUUCUCUUACCAUAUAUUUUUAAGGAUUCUUAAUUUUUAUAAUAUGUUUUUUUUCUGACCAUAUGUUUUAGAACAACUUAGUUAUUAAUUUUCCUAAUACUUCUCAUAUGUAUGUUUCUCUUACCAAAAACCUUCAUGAAAGUCACCAUCCCAUGUGAUUGUUUCAACUAUAUAACCAUGUCCAAUUUCCAUCCACUUCAACACCAUAUUCAACCUCACUAAUCUCUAUAACAAUAUUUUGCUAUAGCACAGAUAGCAAGGUACAAUGAUGUUUCAAAAUCUUGUGAGCUAACACAACAGACAAUGAUCAGCCACAAACUGAAAGGUCUUGAUUCAAGACCUUCACCUCAGGUUGUGGCUGAUUAUUGUCAGCUGAAGUUGGCUCAGAAGAUUUUGUAGAGCCGUUGCACCUUCCAAAUAUUCUUUCCAUGCUGUAACGAAAGUAGAGCUUUCAAUCAAAAUGGUUCAAGCAUAUCUCUAUCUAACUUCUUCAAAAAAAAAUUACGCAAAAGUAUUGUUUUUCCCAGAAUAGUUCCAGUAAGAAAGCUAAUUUUUUUUAGCUUCUGUCUUCUCAUCAAUAUGCUAGGAAUUAAAAAAAGAGAGGAAAAUUGAAGGUUUUGAGAUGUAUUUUUUUACUACAGUAGCAUUUUUUCCGAUAGUCCUCGGCUUUUUGUUUCUCUUUGUUAUCUCUUGUACUUCAAUUAUCACACUUGUUUUUUGUUGCUGCUAUUCUUUUCUCAGAAUGAUAGGACAUACUUUUUUUAGUAUCUACUUUGAUAUGCGCUUCCUUAAGCUGAGGGUCUAUGGAAACAACCUCUCUACCUAAGGUAGAGGUAAGAUUUUCAUACACUCUUACGGAGGGUAUGUUGCUCUUCUAACCAACUUUGGGAUCCCAAGAAUGAUUUCAAAUGCUUGUAGAAUAGAUAAUCUUGUUUCCUAUUUGUUUCCAUUUUGCUCGGUCUCUUAAAAAUGUUAGAUGGGUGUGUGACCGAUCAUCUAUCAAAGAAUUUCGCAAGUAUGGUUACCUCUUCUAAGGUAAAUUUCAACUUCGGUAAACCUCAAGACUUGUGUAUAAUACCGGAAGAGGCAACAAAGGCUCAGGGGCAACUCAAGUUCGUUGGUGGCCUAAGGACAAAAAUGAAUCUGAGGCCCUAAUUUUUUUUAAGAAAAAUAAAUAUUUUCUUAAUUUUAAGUUUAUUCUUCUAUCUUUUUGAGAUGCAAAGUUAUUUCUUUUUCUGAUAUAUGAUUUUUCUUUUAUAAAUAGUACUCCUUCCAUCUUAAUUUCUUUUUGAUUUAUUUUGACUUGACACAGUGUUUGGAGUUUAAAAAAAUAAAAAAAACUUUUUAAUCUUGAAUUUUUAAAUUAAAAACAUAUAAAAUACACCAAAAAUAUUCUUUAACCUUAUAACCUUAAACAUGUUUUAAAAAAGGAUAAAAAUAAUAAAAACUGAUGAUACAAAAUAUUUUUUUAAAUAAACCCUAUAAUAAUUCUAUUAUUACUAAGAAACUGAGGGCCCUCAAGGCUAUCGGUGUCAACUAAUGUCCAAAAGAAAGGAUCUAAACCUAUUUUUAGUUUUAAUCAAUAGAAAGGAUCUAUACCUAGUUUUAGUUUUAACUUCUGUCAAUUAUAUCAUCUGUGUUCCAUAAAGCUACCAUAAGCGGCGUUCUAUUUUUGCAUGUAUUUGGAACAUGGAACUGUUACCUUGAGCAGCCUGUAGAAGUAAUUAUAUAUUUUUCUAUAUCAAGCUACGUAAUUUCUUCACUUGUACUGUAUUUCCUUCUUAGCUUUAAGUGCAAACGGGACCUAAACCUUUGCGGCGAAUAAGGAAUUCUCGAUGCCAGCAAGUAGUAAAGACACACUACAAGAAAUCUGAUUUUUAGUGGCGAAAAAAGUCGCCACUAAAUAACGAAAUGUCGUCACUAAAUAUCUUUUGGCAGCAACAACUAAGGCGUUGGUAGUACUUCCGAAACUAAAAGUUAUUUGCGACGACAAAUCUAGGUUGCCACAAUAAAAAGGUAAUUGUGACGAUUUUUAUCGCCACAAAAGGUAGAUAAUUUCGCUGCAAAUUGUAUUUUGACAAAACACAUAUGGGUUAGGUCGCCACUGAUAUAGUAGCAUUAGCAGCGACUUUGCCACUGUAAAAUCAUCAUCAUUUGUGACGACUUAUUUCUUGCCACAAAAACCAUGCUAUUAGAUGUGACGACUUAUGGAUCGCCACAAAAACACCAUUAUCUGUGACGACUUAUUUCUUGCCACAAAAACUUUCCUAUUAUCUGUGACGACUUAAGUGUUGUCACAAAAUUACUAUCAUCUGUAACAAUUGUUUCCUCGCCGCAAAAACCUUUAUAUUAGUAGCAACCUUUAUCGCCGCAAAAUUAGUAUCACUAGUGACCACACAUUUAUAUUAGUAGCAAUCAAUGUCACGCCUAUACCUUUAAAUAUUAGUGGCGACUCUUAUAUCUUGUUGCUAAAAAUAAACUUAUAAUAGCAAAAUUCAUUGCCUCAUAAAUACUUAAUCAUUAGUGGCAAGUCUCAAUUUGCCACUAGAUUAAAUUUUGUGCUCAAAUAAAAUACUGUUUUCAUAAACCAAAGCAUUAAAUUUAUUUAAUACCUAUAUUAGACAAAAUGGACAACAAAUUUAAGAACUACAUAUAAUAUUAGCGAUUAAAGGCAUCCCAUAGAAUUUAACAAAAUUAUUCUCCGACUAACUAUUACAAGUAUUUCACUUACUAAGAAGUCAACGAUACAUACAUUAAUAAAAUAAUGAUAUAUAGUACUUCUGUUUUACCAUAUUCAUACAUAUGAUCAAAAAUCAAACAUGCAUUCUAUGCGUUCAUGCUCCUCCUUGGUCAACCCAUUGUUUAAGAACGCCCUCGCCAUUAAAACAAACCAAGUCACUUUAUGAUUGUAGAAAAAAAAAAGUGCAUAUUUAUACUGAAUGAACUAAAAGGUAGUGAUGAAGAUUUCGUUAACGAAGUGGCAAGUUCACCCUUAAAAUGAUUAAUUCGAACUUCACCCCUUAAAAGAUUUAAAGUGUACGUAAAUCUUGUCCUACCUUGUAGAGGUAGAGAUGUUGUUUUCGAAUCUACUAUUUGUUUACAUAUAUUAUAGUUUUGACCAUGUAUAAAUAAUGUAUUUUUCUCCGAGGGAGAUUCGGGUGAACCCCCUUGUCCCUCCUAGCUCAACCCCUGCUCUGUAGCCUAUAUCAAUUCGCUAUCGAAGCACAAAGCCUCAAACUAACCAUACGUAAAGUGAGAAUAACGUAAAGGUUGUGAAAAUUGGUCUCAUUGUGUAGAGAUAAGAAACACAUUCAUUCAAAUAUAUGUCAAUUUCCAAUCUAAUAUCUCAAUAGAUUGUAAAUAUUUUAUACCUGAAAAUGAUCCUUCCAAAUUCAAGCAAACCUGCUGCAAUUAGUCAGUGGAUUCCAACUUUUGAAGAUAUAGUAGCAAGAAAAGGUGGUCAAUGCGUUGAAGCCAGCGGUUAGCGACCAGGAAAAUGUAUCCCAGGAAACAUCAAUCACAGGAAGUUACACUGAUAAACAAUCAUUCUUUGUUUUCUUUCUUUGGUAAUAUUUCCAGAAUUUCAUCCAUUGUCCUUAGCAUUUUUUCACAUUUUCAUUUGCAAAUAAUUAAUUUGUAUUUGUGACUUACAGAUAAAAGAAAGUCAAAGUGCUUAUGGUUCUUUUCUGGACAAUGAGUUGGACAAGAAAUUACCUGUUGCAUUCCAUCCAUGAGAGCAGCCAUUUUUUCUUGAAACAUUUUUUCUACUUCUCCUUUAAUGUGUUCAUGUUCCUCUUCCAGUUUCUUUUGCAAAUCCUGAUCCAUAUCUCUUUUCAAAUCGGCAGCCAUUUGUUCACGCUCUUCUUGCAACUUUCUUUCCAUGUUAAGUUGUAUCUCUUGACACAUACUUUCUACCACUGAAGACACACUAGCCUCUAUGUUUGCCUAUUGUGUUUGAUUCUUUUUAGUAGGAUUCUUACCAUAUCCUUUUCCCCGAACAUAUCCCGAUUUCUCAACAGGAACCGAAGUUAAAAUCUCAUCCCCGGUCAUGCGAAGCUUGAUCUCUUCGGAUUGUUGUUCAACAACAAGUUUCUGGAGUUGUCCCUAUAAUAAUAUAUAACCAUUUACAACCAUUGGUUAAUAUAUUGAGCGUAGCCUAUAGUACAUCAAAAAGGUAUAUGAUAGUGAUUUCAGAAAAUUACGUGAAUUUGUUCAGAUUGUGGAUCCAGCCAUACACGUUCUCCAUUAACAUUCUUACGUGUGUGUUGGAUCUCCCAGAUUUUAUCUGGUGUCUCUUUUUCUCAUGUUAGAGGAUUUCUAUACAAUAUCAAUAGGAAAAAUAUGUUUAUAUAACCAUAAGAUUAUAUAGAAUGAUAUAAAUAAGUAUAUGUAAUAAUAAGGGAACAAAUAUGAUGUAUCUUAACCGUAGAUUCCUCUACUUCUGCAAAUGAUCUUGUACCACAACAAUGUUUAGUUAUUUGUUUUUCUCUAUUUCUUUUGUUUCUCUCGCUGACGACCUGCACUUAAGUGAACAGAUUAGGAAAUCUUGAAUCAAUCAAACAAUCAAUCAAUUUCUUAACCGUAGAUUCCUCUACUUCUUCAAAUGAUCUUGUACCAGAACAAUGUUUAGUUAUUUGUUUUUCUCUAUUUAUUUUGUUUCUCUCACUGAUGACCUACACUUAAGUGAAAAGAUUAGGGAAUCUCGAAUCAAUCAAACAAUCAAUCAAUCAUGCACGCCGCAAUCCUAAUACAAAAUAACUUCCAUUUCCAACAAAGUAGACUUCUAUUUCCAACAAACCAGAAUUCCACAAUCCACAUUUCAAAGCAAAUGUGUAGAUAGAAGUCAGGCUAUAAGAGAGAAACAUCAAGUUGCAGGUUCACCAUUCUGCAUUUGAAAUACGCUAGUCUAAGAAACUGCAACAGAGGUGCUAUUACUUGGCUUGCCGAUGACCAGGUCUGAGGGUGUAUGGCAUUUAUAUUUAAAGGUACAGAAAUAUAUUUUCUCAAAAAAAAUUUCAAUUAUUUGUUCGUUACCUUGAAUUUAUCACUGCCAAAAUGUUCCACUAGGUGCUUCCAGUCAUCCAACUCAACAUCCUCUGGACGAUGCGACACUCUAUCUUUAUCAUUGUUAUAGCUUGAGUAGAUAACAUGUAAUCGAGCUUUCCAUGAUCUAAAAAUUCGUUGCAUAGUACUUAUCACAAAACUUUGCAACUUAUGCUCUGGAAGCCCUUCGAACUUCAAAUUUAUCCUGCACAUUUGUUAAACAAACAGAAACUGAUAAAUACUAUUUGGUCUUAAAAAAUAAUAUUAAAAUACUGUUUGGUCUGCAAGAUUCACAUCCGAGAACACAACCUGAGAAGUCAACUUCCAAGAACACAACCUGAGAACACAACAUGUAAUGGAUGCAGACAAUUAAGGUUUGCAAACGCUAUACCAGGUCACCCACGCAAGAUAUGGGUAAGAUCUCUCCACACAGUAAUGUAGAUUGCCUGAAAAGAAGCAUUCAUCAUCAUAGCCCAUUUUUUGGCGAUUUGUGAAGAUCCCGUCACUUGUUAUCCUCAUUGAUAACUAAACAAAGAUUUUAUCCAGCAAAAAUAUGUUGAAUAAUAAAAAGACAUGUUAGCUAGUCAAUCGAACACACAACACAGUUUACUAAAGCUCACAGACCAUACAAGCUGCUUUCCACAUAGAAUGUGAUACAGUAAUAGCCAAGUAAGAUGCUUUUCAAGUUCAGAUUUUGCUUUUUCAUGAACAUAAAAGAGAAAGAAACUAACAUGUCAUGGCUGCAGAAAAAGUAUUUUCAAUAAUACAAAGACACCAUAACUAGUCAACCAAACACAUAACACUAUUUACUGAAGCUCACAGAACAUGAAAGAUGCUUUCCAUAGUGAAUAUGAUAUAGUAAUAGCCAAAUAAGAGAAUGAAACCAAUACAAUAUUAAGAGUCAUUACCUUGACCCUAUACCACAUUGCUUCUCCAUGUUUUAGAACAAUGUUCUGCCAACUUCCAUCUCUAAAUGAGAAAGUGGUUCUCAUGAUCCAACCACAGUAAUUGUCAAUGUCUGUAGCUCCAGAACCCACGGCUCUAUCAAUGUCAUCUGGGAUCAUUAUUUUAAUUUUUCCUCCAUGUUUAAACUUAAAAUCCACGGUUUUGGAUUUGUAUUUCCCUCUGCCUUUCUUUUUAUUGAUGUGGGAAACUGCAAACCAAAAAAAUAUUUUAUUAUAAAUAAAACGUAUAUUUAGAUUGAUCCAGCAAAGUAAAAUAACCUGCACCAGUUUCAGCCUCUACACUAAGGCGUACACUUUCAUCUAUAUUUCUGGAUGAUUGUGUCUCUGGGGAUGUCCUUUGAAUAGGUCCUCUUUGCAUUUGUUGUGUUUGCAGAGGUCCUUUGCUUGGAUUAGAUGAUUGUCCUGUCUCUAAAGAAGUCCCAACAACUCCUAUUGGUUGUAUUUGUGGCAGAGAUGUUGUAUUAGAACUUAAACGUUAUCGAAAACUGCCACGGCCGCGUCCACGUCCCGCACCUCCUCUUCCACUUCUUCCUCAUCCUAUUCCUCUCAUUUUCUGUAAUAUUAGGUUAAAAAGGAGAUGUGUAUCAGAACCACAAAUUAAACAUGCCAAAAUAUAUAUCUAUUGCCGAGGAAAUUAUCGAUUUAUAAAAUGAAAUUUUAAAUCAAACAAUUUUAAAAUAUCAAACGGUUUGUUGAACUUUAUAAAUUUAUUGAUUCUACUUAAAAACACUAAUUUCACUGAUAAAUAAAAGUUGCAAGCAUAAUAAUACCAGAUACAAGAUAGCAUAAUAAGAACACAAAAUACAAGAUGUCGUCCUAUUUAGAACACAAAACACAAGAUGCUAGCCUAAUAUAAUAACGUCGCAAAACAAGAUGUCAGCCUAAUAAGAGCAAAAAACACAAUGAAUUUCUUAUCCAUCUUUUCUUCCCAAUCUCAGCAGGACAUAUCACUGUAUUCUCCAUCAGUAGCAUCAAGUAACUCUUCUUCACUUUCUUCAUUAUCUGAUACGUCCAUAUAAUUGUCAUUAAUGAAAUCAUCUUCCUCAUUUUCUUGAUCAAUGGUUCGUAAAACAAAUUCUGGUUCAACAUCAUCCCGGUGUAAAGGCACCUCAAUAUCGGUUUCAUGAUUAUUGGCACACAAAAUAUCUUAAACUUCAUCUGGUAAACAUCUUCAUUCAAUGACGUGUCUAGUUCAGCUUCAGGCACAUUUAAAAGAUCGCAAGGAUUAGUCUUUACAACAACAAGCCAAUCUUUAUCGACCAUGUCAUUCAAAUAGAAGACUUUUUCACACUGAGAUGCCAACAAAAAUGGCUCAUUUGUAUUCAAGACAUAAUGAGUAUUCACACUUGUAAAACCAUAUUUUUCAAUCUUAUAUCCUCUUUCGAGGUAAGCCACAUCCCACCAAUGAUACUUGAACAGAUGAACUUUUCUAUUUCCUGCAUAACGUAACUCAUAAAUACUCCUUAUUAGGGUAUGAAACAUCUCCCCUCACAAGAACUCCGUUGUUCUGUGUUUUUCUCACAAGCUCUUUUGUUUGAAAUCUAAAUCCAUUGAUCAUACAUGUUGAAUAUCUAUGUAUCAAUGGUUUUGGACCAAUAGCUAAGCUUUUGAGCUCAUCAUUUGCACGUCCUUGGGAAAAUAGUACAAAUAUCUACAGAAACAAACAAUACUACUAUCACUAAUAUAAGAAAAUUGAAUAUAUGCUAAUAUUUAUUAUGUCAUUUAAUUAGACACCUAUGCGUGCACGAAACGAAUCAAUAAAUCCAUUGUCAUUCACCCUAUGAUCACGUGUUGAACCUUCUACUUCAAUCCGUCUCAUGUAUUCCCUACAGUUUGCGUUAGUUGAGAUUAACUAAAUUAUAUUAAUGUCAAAUUAUAUUAGAAUUAAAAAGAGACUUACUCCCUGUAUUGUGAAAUCUCAUCACAAUUUUGAAGCACAUAAAUACAUGCUUGAUUGAACUCAUCAUGAGGUAGCCUAUUUCCUCCAUCUGAAGCCCCUUUUAUUUGCCCACUAUAUUUAAAAAUAGACAUCUCACCAUUUGUCAAAGAUUCAUCGUCAUUUCGAGUUGAUUUAUUAAACUUAGUUGAGAUGUUCUUUAAAUAUCGUGAACAGAACGUAAGGCUUUCCUCUACCAAAUAUGCUUCGGCAAUUGAACCCUCCGAACGACCUUUGUUGCAAUUUUAUGCUUUAAGCUCUCGCAAAUACCUAUAAAGAAUUAUCAUUUAAAUAAUUAUAGAAUAUUACAUUUUAAAUAUAUUGACAUUUAAUUUUAGAAUGAGACAAUACCACUCAAAAGGGUACAUGUUUCUAUAUUGAACGGGUCCACCAAGUUUUGCCUCUCUUGCCAAGUGAAUUGGCAAAUGAAUCAUGACAUCAAAGAACGCCGGAGGAAAAGCCAUUUCAAGUUUGCACAAUAUGAUAGGAAUUUCAGACUCUAGGAUAUCAAGAUCCUCAAUUCUUAGGCAUUUAGAGUAUAGAUUCUUGAAAAACUUGCCUAAUGCUAUAAUUGGUUCACAAACUUCCUUAGGGAAUAAACCACGUAUAGCUACUGGUAAAAUAUCUUGCAAUAAAACAUGAUGAUCAUAACACUUCAAUCCAUGUAUGUUUUUCUCACGCACAUUAACACACCCAGAAGUAUUUGAUGAAAAGGCACAGGGAACCUUCAAAUUAGCUAAGAAAUCGCAUAACUUGAACUUCUCUUCAGGAGACAAAGCAUAGCAUGCAACCGGUAACAAAAUAUUAUCUCCAUCCUCAAUUGGAUGUAAACUUUGCCUAAUUCCAAGAUCCAUCAAAUCAUAUCUACUUUUCAAUGUGUUUUUUGUCUUUCCAACCAUACUCAUCAUAGUGGAUAAAAAACUUUCAGACACAUUUCUUUCUAUGUGCAUUGGAUCAAGGUUAUGUAGUAAGUCAAAACCAUCCCAAUAAGGCAAUUUAAAAAAGAUAAUCUUCUUUCUCCAAUUAUAAGCAUCAUUGGAUAUAUUACGCUUUCUCUUUUGGCCUUUACCAAAAGUCACAUUUCCCAAAGCUUGUAACUGCUCAAGUGCUUCAACACCUGUUAAAGGAAUAGGUGUAGCCCUCAUAUCCAUCAAAUAAAACUCGAUUUCUAUGCCAUGGAUUGUUCAUCGGAAGAAAACAACGAUGACCCAAAUAACACAACUUACUACGUAAAGAAAUCAAAUGUGUAUCUUUGUGGUAACAAGGGCAUGCAAGUUUGGCUUUGGUUGACCAUACUGAAAGUUUACCAUAUGCAGGGAAGUCAUUAAUCAUCCAUAGGAGAGCAACACACAGAAGAAAAUUAGAUUUUGAGUGUGUAUAAUAAGUCUCCACCCCGUUCCAUAAUUCAUUCAACUCUUCAGUCAUUGGUUGUAAGUAUAUAUCAAUAUCAUUGCUUGGACACUUAGGGCCCAGAAUAAGAAGAGUCAUCAUGAAAUAUGGACUUUUCAUGCAAUCCCAUGGUGGCAAAUUAUAUGUAGCUAGCACGACUGGCCAAAUACUAUAAUUGGAACUCAAAUUCCCAUUAGGUUGAAACCCGUCACUGGCUAAACCUAAUCGAACAUUUCUUAACUUAGCUGAAAAGGUAGGAUAACGCUCAUUGAGAGAUUUCCAUUCAAUUGAGUCAGAUGGAUGUCGCAUGACACCAUCUUCAAUAUUUUCCUCCAUGUGCCACCUCAUCUUUUUUGCCGUCUCUUAUGCCAUGUACAAUCUUUGGAGCCUUGGUUUGAUUGGAAAAUGCUGUAAUACUUUAUGAGACACUUUCUUACCUUUAUGUUCUUCCGACUUCCACCUAGAUUCACCACACUUUGGACAUGAUUGGAAAUUCAAAUAGUCACACCAAUAUAAUAUGCAAUCAUUCUUACAUGCAUCAAUUUUGGUGUACCCCAAGCCGAGAUCGACAAGAACCUUUUUUGCUUCAUAGAAAGACUUGGGUACGAAUGACCCCUUAGGGAGAACCUCUAUUAAAAAGUUCAACAGCUCAUCCAUCGAUUUGUUGCUCCAGUGGUUAAGGCACUUCAACUGGAGUAAUUUAACAACAAAAGACAAUUUUGAGACUUUUGUGCAACCAAAAUAAAGUUGUCUCUGCGCAUCCUCUACCAAUAUGUAAAACUUUUUUUCAUGCACAUUUGGAUCUUCAUUGCCCUCCCGAGAAUUAGUAUUACCAUCCAUAUUUGUAUGUCCACAAGAAUCAUGAAUCAUUCCAAUAACAUCAUCAUGUUCAAUUUCAUCAUCUUCUACUUGAUCACUACGAGCAGGAUUAGAAUUUUCACCGCUAAUCAAUACUUCUCCAUGAUAAUCCCAAACUCUAUAAGAAUCCCAGAAGCCCUUAUUCAACAAGUGUAGUCUUACAUCAAUUCUCAGCUUAAACACAGUGUUCCUACACUCCUUACAAGGACAUCGAAUAAUAGUUCUCAACCCCAAUUGACUGAACGCCCGAUUAAGAAAGUUAUCUACUCCAUCUCUAUAUCUUUGGUCAGAUCUAUUCGAGAUAUCCAACCAACUUUUAUCCAUUCCUAUCUUUUCAACCAUUAAAAAAAACAAUUUAUUAAUUAAAGAUACAGGUAUGAAAACAAUCAAAAUAAAUACAAGAUCGAAGUGUAUUGUGAAUAUCACAAAAAAGUUCAAAAUCAUAGAAACUGAGAAAUAAAGUAUAAUAGCCAACACAUCGCCAGGCCUGUCAACAUGAUAAUUUACUCUUAAAGAAUAUUAUUAAACUAUUGUUUGAUCUAUAGGAUUUACUUCCAAGCACACAACUUGUGAAGUCAACUCCCAACAGUACCUAUGUUUUUCUUCUACUAAUGAAUUUUCUAAUUGAACAUCGGCCUUCUUCUCCAUAAUAUUUUUUAAUCAUAUGUCUGAAAUUCUUGAAGUUAUUAAUGUGGAUCUAUCAUCCUUAGAAAUUAAGGAGACAUGUUUAUCAUUCUUGGAAAAUUCAAGGCUCAGAUUUAGCUUUUUUAUGAACAUGAAAGAGAAAGAAACUAAUGUGUCAUGGCUGCAGACAUGGUUUGCAAAUGAAUGGUAUACCAGGUCGCCCCCAAGACACAAGUAAGUUUUCUCCACACAGUUAUGUAGAUUUUCCAGAAAGAAGCAUUCAUCAUCACAGCCUAUUUUAAGGUAAUUUAUGAAGAUCAUGUCACUUGUUAUCCUCAUUAAUUACUUAAUACAGAUUUUAUCCAGAAAAAGUAUUUUCAACCAUACAAAGACACCGUAACUAGUCAACCGAACACACAUCACAAUUUAGUGAAGCUCACAGACCAUGCAAGAUGAUUUCCAUAGAGAAUAUGAUAAAUUAUUAACAAACAGAAACUAAUCACAAAUGUAAUGUUCUGGACAAACAAAAAAAUAAAGUAUACAAUUUGAUUUUAAAUUAUUAUAGUUUCCUAUACGCAGGUGCAGGGGAAAAAGAAUCAAGCAUGCACUCAUUAACAUUUUGAAGAGUACGAGCAAGUUAGUAUAGUGAUUAUUCUAGAAGUACACGGAUGAAGAAAAAAAAUACUGGUGUGACAAUUAUAGUGCAGUGACUAUGGAUAUCAGUGGUGUAGUUAGAGUUGCACCGGAAGAUAUAGAAGUUCUAGUCUCAGGGAUCAUGCCUCCAACCUUUAAACCAAAGGCAACUGCCUACCCCUCCACCAAACCUAGAGUCAUGAUCUAUAGACCUCCUAAAAAAUGAUCAGCAAGUUUGAGGGGCCGUCAAUGUAUUCGGUCAUAGCAAAAAGACUUGAGGCUCAGAUAAGUGAUUAACCCUGACAAUGAAUUCUGACACUGCCAUGAAUGCAAACCCGAUAAAAUGGGUUGCCCCGCCAAGAUACAGGACUGAAACAACAAUGCCAGGUUCUAUAUUCUCAAUAACAGUCAAUCAUCACAACCUUAUUAUUUUCAUUCCAUUCUAUUAUUAUAUGGUUCUGUUGUUGCUUUGCCAACGCAGCCUCUGAGAAAUAGAGUAUAACAGCCAACACAUCGUCAAGACUCUCAAUGUGAUAAUUAACAAUUAAAGAAUAUUAUUAAAAUAUUGUUUGGUCAGCAAGAUUCACUUCCAAGCACACAACCUAUGAAGUCAACUCCCAGCAGUAACUAUGAUUUCUUCUAUUAAUUAAUUUUCUAAUUGAACACUGACUUUCUUCUCUGUAAUAUAUUUUAGUCAUAUGUUACGGGUAAGAUUUCUACAUACGGUAAUGUAGAUUGCCCAAAAAGAAGCAUUCUUCAUGACAACCCAUUUUCAGGUGAUUUAUGAAGAUCGCGUCACUUCUUCUUAUGACUUAUCCUCGUUGAUAAAUAAAUAUAGAUUUUAUCCAAAAAAAAGUAUUUUAAACCAUGCAAAGACACCGUAACUAGUCACCCGAACACACAUCACAAUAUAGUAAAGCUCACAGACCAUAUAAGAUGACUUUAACAGAGCAUAUGAUACAGUAAUAGUCAAACAAACAGAAACUAAUCACAAAUGUAAUGUUCUGGACAAACAAAAAAAUGAAGUAUAUAAUGUGAUUUUCAAUUAUUAUAGUUUCCCAUACGCAGGUGCAGGGAAAGAAGAAUCAAACAUGUACUCAUUAACAUUUUGAAGAGUAUGAGAAAAUUAGUGUAGUGAUUAGGCUAGCAGUACAGGGAUGAGGAGAAACAAUAUUGGUGUGGCAAUUAUAGUGCAGUGAAUGAGGAUAUCAGUGCUGUAGUUAGAGUUGCACCAGAAGCCAUAAAAGUUCUAGUCUUAGGGAUCGUGCCUCCAUCCUUAGUACCAAUGGCAACUGCCUACCCCUCCACUAAACCUAGAGUCAUGAUGUAUAGACCUCCUAAAAAAUGAUCAGCAAGUUUGAGGGGCCGUCAAUGUAUUCGGUCAUAGCAAAAAGACUUGAGGCUCAGAUAAGUGAUUAACCUAGGCAAUGAGUUUUCUGACACUUCCAUGACUGCAAACCCGAUAAUAUGGGUUGCCCCACCAAGAUACAGGCCUGAAACAACAAUGCCAAGUUCUAUAUUUUCAAUAAUAAUAAAUCAUCACAACCCUUUUUUUUUCUUUCCAUUACAUUGUUAUAUGGUUCUGUUGUUGCAUUGCCAACAUAGCCUCUGAGAAAUAGAGUAUAACGGCCAACACAUUGUUAGGACUCUUAAUACGAUAAUUAACUCUUAAAGAAUAUAAUUAAAAUACUGUUUGGUUUGUAAGAUUCACUUCCAAGCGCACAACCUAUGAAGUCAACUCCCAACAGUACCUAUGUUUUCUUUUGUUAAUUAAUUUUCUAAUUGAACAUCGGCCUUCUUCUCCGUAAUAUUUUUUAGUCAUAUGUCAGAAAUUCUUGAAGUUAUUAAUGUGGAUCUAUCAUCCUUAGAAUAAGGAGGCAUGUUUAUCAUUCUUAAAAAAUUCAAGGAUCAGAUUUUGCUUUUUUAUGAACAUGAAAGAGAAAGAAACCAACAUGUCAUGGCUGCAGACAAUGUUUGCAAAUGAAUUCUUUACCAGGUCUCCCCCCAAGACACGAGUAAGAUUUCUCCACCCAGUGAUGUAGAUUUUCUAGAAAGAAGCAUUCAUCAUCACAGCUUAUUUUAAGGUGACUUGAGAAGAUCACGUCUCUUAUUAUCCUCAUUGAUAAGUUAAUACAGAUUUUAUCCAAAAAACCGUAUUUUUCAACCAUACAAAGACAUUGUAACUGGUCAAUCAAAUACACAACAAAACCUUCUAAUCUGGAGUUAGAUGUGCUACCAUUAUGCCAUGGACGACAAAAGAAAGAAUUUGAGACUCGGGUAAAAUGAGAGAAUGAACACAGUACCAUGGCUGCAAAUCAUAUCGAUGUUGUAAGACAAACUGCAAGAAGAGGAGCAAUUGUAUCUCGAAUCCUUUGUACGUACGGUCAAGAUUACUCGUCUAUAACAAAGACUACGAAAUUGGGUGGCCAAAGAUAACACAAAUCCCAUGUUGGGGGCACGAUCCCUGAGACAAGAACUUCUAUGGCUUUCGGCGUAACUCUAACUACAAUCCUGAUAUCCUCAUUCACUACACUAAUUGUCACACCAGGUUUUGCCUCCUCAUCCAUGUACUGCAAGCCUAGUAACCUAUUAAACAUUAAACAACAAACUUUUCUCUGCAAUAAUUGUUGAAUCAACAUUCCCAAUCAACAUACAUGCAAUCACAAUAAUAAUACCAAAAGGUCUACAAAUUCAAAAAUGAACUUUCAGCUUACCCAAAUAAAGAUAAUGAUAACUCACUGACAAUUUUUAAAACUGAAAAUUAACAAAAUACAAAAAAUGAAUUAGUGAGAAACAUAAAUUGUACCUUCGGCUCUAACUCAAGAAUUUUGAACUCGAUUUCUUCGUCCUUCGACCGUACAAAAUUCUGUUCCUACAUAUUUUCAAAUAGAUUAAAGAAAUUGCUCAUGCAAUCUAAAAAAUUACUUAUAUACCCAAAAGGGUUUUGACCACAUACCUUGGAGCACAAACUUUGAUAGCCUUAUUUGAGAAAAAAUAAAAAUUUCUAGGAAAGAGAUAUCCAGUUCCUGCAAAAAAUUGAGUUAAUAGAAUUGCAUGUGAAAAUCAAAAAUGCAUAUACACAAAGAAAUCAAUUUGAGAAAUAACUUUAGAAAACAUUAUUACAGUAAAGAGGAAAUUUUUUAGGCAUUUCAUCUAAAAAAUUAACCUAACCCAUUUAAGAAAUUUGAGAUUUGAGCAAAGUUUUAACCAACAAACCUAAUAAAUUUCAGCUAACCCAUGUAGAAAAUUUUGUUUCUUCUAUGGGUUUGAGAUCUUGCUUGAGAAAAAUGAUGAAAUGGUUCAACAGAGAGACGAUGAAGGUUAGCUUUAGCUUUAGAAGAGAGAGAGAUGCUGAAAGAGAAAAGAAAUUUUCUUUCUUUUUUAAUUGACUGAAAAGUAUAUGCAGACUAGAAGUUUCCUAUUCUUAAAUUUUUAAAAAAUAAAAUAAAUUAACUUUAGUGGCGACGUUGUUGCCACAACAUUAAUUCAGAGACGACAUUUUAUUAGUCGUCGCUAUAAAAAUUGGAGAGAAAAUUUUAUUAUUAGCAGGAACAGAAAUUUUUAUUAUAGUGACAACUAUUAGAGGCGAAAAAAAUUAUCCGACGUUAAAAUAUGAUGUAUUGCAGCGAUAAUAAAUGUCGCCACUAAAUGAUAUGUUUUUUGCAGCUACAAUUUGAGUCGCCACUAAUUGUCGCCACUAGAAAUCAGAUUUCUUGUAGUGACACUAGUGUGUUAAGUACAAAUCAACUGUCCAAAGAUGAAGAAAAAGGAAACCCAUGUGCUCUUAUGUUUUUUCGAACAAUACAAAAUGCUAGGAUGUUUCUGCUCUUAACGAUUCUGAUGAGGUUUCCAUUUCCAUCUCAUAUGAUGUCAGAACAUCAAGAAGAGACUUAUUGAAGGUUAGACAUUCAGUUCAGGUCAAUGUUAUCAAAAGCUAAAAGUGAUAAUCAAAAAACUCGAUGACGUUUGCUAUGGAAAAACGAAUCUAAUUUACAACGUCUCCUUCAUACAUACAGUACACAUAUCUCCUCUUUGGGGAGCGACAGAGAAAGCAUUAGCACAACAUGCUGUUUUGUUUUUCUCCGGCGAAGAUAAUCUCUAUUACUGCCUCGGAGAUCAAUGAUACCUUCAGGAAUCAGGGUUCACACACAUUCAGUAUUUGCUUUAGGAUAUGAGGCAGGGAUCAAUAAGAGCACAGUAGAUGGAAAUUUAGUUCCUCCUGGUGGUCUGAUUACCUUUGUACAAAAGGGAAUUCAAUAUCUUGAAUUGGAAGCAACUGCGAGCAAUGAUGACACAGAUAUGGACGAGGACUUCUAGUUUUUACAAACCAUUGAUCUUAUUACGAAGGAUAUGUAUGAGCUACAUAAAAUAAUAAAAGAAAAAAAAAGAAAAGCUUCGGAAAGAAAAACAUAAGGGAAAGUAUAUAUAAGGAUACCACGUGACGAUCUCAUGGAUGCGAAACCCAAGGGAGAUAAUUAAAGAGGUUGUUAGACACGAGUAGAAUGGAAAGGCUGGAGAUCCAGAGCCCAUGGAGAUUUGCACAAGCUCAACCUCCUUGUGAAAUACGGAGUUCUGAUUUAUUGAUUUUUGCAUGUGCUUGGAGUCCAGACGAUUCACUUAUUGCAUUCAUCUGGGUCUGUAGAUUCUACUGCCAGGAUUUGGACAAUCGGAGAUGGUCCUUGUAAUUCCCAUAUGUAAAAUGGGCCUGUAAAUGUCAUGGUAUUAAAGCAUUUUAAAGGUCAGACAAACGAGAAAAUCAAGGAUGUCAGUACUACACUUGAGUGGAAUGGUGAGGGAAACCUACUUGCAACAGGCUCUUAUGAUGGCCAAACAACAGGUUCUUAUGAUCACUUCAGGUUGCGACUGAUCAUUAUUGCUGAAGUUGGCUCAGAAGAUUCUGUAGAACUGUUGUACCUAGCCAAUAUGUUAUCCAUGCUAUAGCGAAAACAAAGCUUUCAAUCAAAAGGAUUCAAGCAUAUCUCUAUUUGACUUCCUCAGAAAAAAAUUGCACAAAAAUCUUGUUUUUUCCGGAAUAGUUCAAGUAAGAAAGCUAAAUUAUUUUAGUUUCUAUCUUCUCAUGAAAAUGCUUGAAACUAAAAAAAAAAAAAGGUAGGGAAAUUUAAGGCGCUAGUUGUUCACAUGUUUGGUGUGCUCAUCAUAUUUUCUUGAUGAAUUACUUUUCAUGAUAUUGUCUUUGGUAAUUCUUUUUGGUUAUAUUUCUUUCAUGAUUUGUCCAUUUUUAAAGAUGAUAUUACUCAUAUAUAGUAUUUAAUAAAAUUUUCAAAAUCAUUUUGACCUUAGAUAGGAAUGUAUGAAUCUUGUAGUAUCUUUAGGCCAAACCUUUGUAUUUGUAUUAAGUUCACUAACUAUAUACAAAAAUUAAAUUUUAACAAAAAUACGAGAUUUAGGAAACAAAAUUGCAACCUAGUAAUAACUCUUAUUAUUAUUAUAUCGCGUCAUGCCGUUAAUUUUUCCUAUUUUGACAAUAUUUUCUUUUGUAAAUUAAUGAUCGAAUCUUGUUCCAUUCUAACAAACAUUGUGAUGAAAGUAGAUAUAGUAAUGAGACAUGAUUAUUGUCAACAAGAAUUAGAUCUACUAAUUUAUUCUCUUUUAAAAAUCAAUAAAGAUUUAAGCUUCUUUCUGAAUAGACCUGCCACUUUUGCAAACUUCUGUCCUUCACUAUGUGUACAAUUAGAUUUAAUGUUUUGGUACAUGGCUAAAACAUUCGAGCAAUAACAGCAUUUUCUCUAAUGAUAUUGGGGGCGGUUUUCACGCCCGCUCCAUACAUUACUGGUGGUUUCGAAAAGCAUCGCAAUUAUGUUUGCCACAAAGAUAUUGUGACGUUUUUGCAAAAGUCACUAUAACUGUAAUCAGUAUAAAUGACAGUUUAUAGUUCUAUAGUAAAACGGUUACCACCACCGCAAUUUUAGAUAUUAACAUUGCCUUAAAUGACAGGUUUAAACCAUCAUAAUAUUCGAUGAGGACUUGCAUGAUCUACGUUGGUAGAUCCAUGUGGUGAUCUUCUUGGCAAUUAGCUGAAUGAGCACUGCCUCUCUUAUAUCUUGUUUCUAAAAAAUAAAUUGACACGGCAAAAAAUAAGUGUCAUUCCACAUUCUUUGUGGAGAAGAUUUAGUUGUUGGUCCACUUUGAAAACUUAUUUUAACAAACUUUGAAAACUCAUUUGCGGCGGGUGAAGUCGUUGGAGUUCAAAUAAAUUGAUUUUUUUUCAAAAUGCGGCUUGAUUUCAGUGAAAGUGGUUGUUUUUAGUUGGUAUUUACUUAUUUUUUACGGAUAAUUGGUGUGUAUCGAUUAUCCUUUGCGAUUGAAUGUUGAAAUUUCUUCACUAAUUUCGUCAGAAUAUGGCAAGAUACGUAAUUUUUGAUAAAAGUUUUUUCCAAUGUAAGGGUGUUGUAGAAGCAUGUUCAUGUUGGGAUUUCUUCACUGCAUAUUUGAUAGUUAGACUCGAAAAGUUGAAUUUUUUUUUAAAAAAAUGAGGCUUGAUUUUACUUAUAAUUUGUGUUUUUAAGUUGGUAUUCGGUUUGUUUGUGCAUUGUUUGUGUUGAAUUUUAACUUUCCUCGACGAUUGCAUUUAGAUUUUUUGCCACUUUUUAUCGAUUUGCGUGAUAAAAAUGUCCUUUAGAUUGAAUUUUUUUGGCAACUGCUUCAUUGAGUUGGUGCUGCAACUGCUGCCAUGUUAAUAGACUGCUAGUGAUAAUGAGGCCCUAAUUCUUUACAUCUAUUCAACAAGAAGAAAAUUAACCACAACAAAGUAGUUAUGAAAAGGAAAAUGAAAAUGAAGAAAACAUAAGAACUAAUAAGGAAACCAGUAGAGCUUACAGAAAAGGAAUAGUGUAAUACCCCGGGAAAUUUUUCGUUGAAAUUUUGUGCAUAAUCGUGUUGGGUUCUAUCUUCUAGAAUGAAUUAUAAAUUUUCUAUGCGUAAUGUCUUACAUUAUGACCCACCAUUGUAGAGUAUCAAAUAAGCUUUCCAAUGAUAUAUGGAUCAUCCAAAACGGACAUCCGAGCGACGAGUUAUGAACAUUCCGAUUGAACCAUGAAUAGUAGUGAACAGUAAGAAGAUGCUCCAACCCCGUUAAGUUUUAGCUGGCUAUCACUGUCCAAUAAAGAUUUCCAAUUCCAUUUUGGAAUAUUUUCAUCCGGGAUUGGAACGACCUAUGUUGUAAGGGAGGAGAGAAGGUGAACCAGCUUUCUUUGGUUGCCUCUCCCGUCUGGUCGAGUAUGCAGGAAAAAAUACUGAGGCCUGGCGUAUUUUUGCUCUAAAUUUAAAUGAUCAUAAAUUCUUGUACAUAAUGAUCUGCGUGAUCUACUAUAUAUCAACGGAAAGCUCUGCGAGUCCUCUUUCCAAUGAAAUUGGUUUCAUCCAAUGUGUCUAUCAGAUCAAAAAGUUAUGGUCGAUCUACUUCAGCCUACCAAAAGCGAAUUUUUGGAUCAACUUUAAACGAUCAUAACUCCUCGUACACAAUGAUCUGGGUGAGAUGCUAUAUAUCAACGGAAAGAUAUGAAGUCCUCUUUCUAAUGAAAUUAGUUUCAUCCAAUUUGAAUAGUGGAGUAAAACGUUAUGGUUGAUCUACUUCAGAGUAUCAAAAUAGUCCACCAAAGGACAGAUUCGAGAAUUAUUUGAUUUUUAGGAGCAUUUUGGUCAUUCCCCCUAAAAUCCGUCCAAACCCUAUAUUAAAGCCUAUUAGAAGCAUUAUAUGUUAUAUUACAUCAAAUUCCCUCAAAAAGAAAACCCUAAGCUCCUACAUCCAACUUCAAGCCCCUCCAAAGUUCACCAUUAAUUCUGCAAAUUUAUUCAAGAUUCUAAGUUCCUAGUUCAAGAACUCCAAGAACCACCAUUAAAAGGCACGAUUAACAUCUCAAAAAUGAGUAUAAAUCUAAAGUUCAUCAUUCAAGGUAUGUGGGGUUUUUCAACAAGAACUCUCUUUCGUUCUUGUGCCCAAAAGUAAUUUUCUUUACAAAGGCAUGAUUUUUAUUUGAUUUUUACGAAUUUGAAGCAUGAACCCAUAUCUUAUGAUGAUUAUUAUGAAAUCUUGAUGUUUAUGAUUUUGAAAAAUGAAUUUACAUGUGUGAUGAUAUAAAGCAUAAAUCUUGAAUGAUAUUUAUCAUGAUUUUGAUAUUUGGGUCAUGAAUCCCCAUUNNNNNNNNNNNNNNNNNNNNNNNNNNNNNNNNNNNNNNNNNNNNNNNNNNNNNNNNNNNNNNNNNNNNNNNNNNNNNNNNNNNNNNNNNNNNNNNNNNNNNNNNNNNNNNNNNNNNNNNNNNNNNNNNNNNNNNNNNNNNNNNNNNNNNNNNNNNNNNNNNNNNNNNNNNNNNNNNNNNNNNNNNNNNNNNNNNNNNNNNNNNNNNNNNNNNNNNNNNNNNNNNNNNNNNNNNNNNNNNNNNNNNNNNNNNNNNNNNNNNNNNNNNNNNNNNNNNNNNNNNNNNNNNNNNNNNNNNNNNNNNNNNNNNNNNNNNNNNNNNNNNNNNNNNNNNNNNNNNNNNNNNNNNNNNNNNNNNNNNNNNNNNNNNNNNNNNNNNNNNNNNNNNNNNNNNNNNNNNNNNNNNNNNNNNNNNNNNNNNNNNNNNNNNNNNNNNNNNNNNNNNNNNNNNNNNNNNNNNNNNNNNNNNNNNNNNNNNNNNNNNNNNNNNNNNNNNNNNNNNNNNNNNNNNNNNNNNNNNNNNNNNNNNNNNNNNNNNNNNNNNNNNNNNNNNNNNNNNNNNNNNNNNNNNNNNNNNNNAAUGGUGAAGUGAUUUGAAAGUGGAAUUGUGAAAGUUAUUCUUUCGAAUGAUUUAAAUGAUAUUUACAUUAUGAGAAUUGAUAUUCUUGAUGAACUGAAAGUGAUUGACAAAUUAUAUGAUGACUCACAUGUGUUAUUGUACUUAUUUCUUCGUCUCGUGAUUAUGAUGAUUUUGUUCGGGCUAUGUGAGUCUUUCAUACAUCCUGCAUAUUUCUUAUAAAUAUUUAUGAUGAUGAUGUUUAUACAAAUGCAUACACCCCCAUAUACUUGGUUCCUUUCCAUGGUACUGACCCAUAUCUUCGGAUGUGGGCUAUAUUUUCUGGGAAUGUAGGUUUAGGUGCUCAGUUCCAGGCUCGACUUUGAUUCUGCGGGCAUGAUGUUCUACAUCCUCUGUCGUGGUGAGUCAUCAUGUUCUGAGGACGUGAUGUCUGAUGUUGGUUUCACGGAAUUUUUUACAUUUGAUAACUGAGUAUGAGUCAGUUGGGGCAUGUCUCAAUGGCUCCCUGGUUUUAUUUAUUUUCUUAGAGGCUUGUCAGACCAGAAUAGAUGUUGGGAGUUGACUAAUUAGUCGUAUUUUGUUAUCUUUUUGAAAUUAUUUUAUUCUUGGAUGAUGAUUACUCUAUUGAUAUUUGAGGGUUAUUUAUGGAAGCCCCGUUGAUUCGUGUUGAACUGAAUGAAAAUGACUCAAAGGGUUAGCUUGGGGUUACUCGUAGCCUCAUGUACCGUGUGACGCUCCGGAACCUAUUUUCGGGGAGUUACAAAUAGUAACAACAACAAAUUAUGUAACAACCAAAACACAAUAAUAUUAAUGUCAAAUCGUCAAGUAAUUGCAACAAACAAACGGGACAAAAAGUUUGCAGUUCUUCAAAUUUUGAGAUCUUUCUUGGAAUCCAAAGUUUGUUACUAGUAAAAUGAUACAUCUCAAACCUUAAAUAAAUCCUUCUUUUUUGAAUUUCUAGAAUUUUCAUGAGAAGACAAAAUCUAAAAUAAUUUAGCUUUCCUACUAGAACUACUCAAAGCAAAAUAGGACUUUUGAGCAACUUUUUGCUGAAGAAGUUAGAGGGAGAUAUGCUUGAACGCUUUGGACUUUUGUGUUAGGGCUCCGCCUGUUAAGUAGGUGUGCUUUGGGGGGGGGGGAGGGAGCUAACAGGAGGAGUUUUAAAAAACACAGGUAAAUGUCCACCUGGAACAGUUCAAGUUAAAAAAAGGUGUCAAAGGAGAAAAUAAUUACUUCAUAUAAUGAGCAUCAACGGAAAUGAUUGAACCAUCAAGGUUGAUUCUUAUCUAGCAAAUGGAUAGUGGUCUAGAGAAAAUAGUAAUGUUUACCCCUAGUCUCAUUGAAUUCACAAAAUAUACCUCCACUAGUGUCCAACCAAGAAGGCGAUCGAUCCAAUCUAGCAAAACUAGGUUGGUCAAGCCACGUUGGAUCCAUAACAACCCUCAAACCUAGUUUUGCUCGAUUGAGUCGAUCAUCUUCUUGGUUAGACAAUAGUGAAGGUAUACUUAGUGACUUCAAGGAGACUAGGAGUCAAUAUUACAGCAGUUUUUGCCAUUGUAGUUGUGGGAACCUUAAAGUUAUGAUGAAUGACAAUAUGAAUGAAACAGUUGAAUUUGAUUCAAACACUUGAUGAUAAGGGAAAGGAAGUUGAGUUGAAAAAGGAGUCCUAUGUGAAGAAGAAGUUUCACUUCUAAGCAUAUCUUUAAGAGUCCAAUGUGUGGAAGGAGAAAGAUUUUGAAAAUUGAAGAAUUCAAAAGAGUUGGUCUUUUACUACAACACUAAGUAGACAAGAGCUGGAAUUGAAGAAAGAGUCUCACUUGAAGUAGAACUCUAUGCAAUGGGAGUUCUAAUUAAAGUUGGAGUUUGAAAUAAAGAAUGACUCUUUGGAGAGUUGUGCUUAAAUAGAAGAUGGUAAUUCACACACUUACAAAGCAGAAAAGCACAAUCGGUAUAUUGACUUCACGAAGUGCUACUCAAUCACUGAAGAAACACAUUGAAGAACCUGGUCCUAAGUAUAGAAUCCAGCUAAGAAUUUUAUUUUUGAUUUUUAGAUUUGUUCAUUGUGUUUUGAGCUAUUGAUGUAAUAUUAGUUUCAAUGUGUUAUAAACUGAAUUAGGAGAUAGUCUUCGAGUUGGGGAAAGCGGUAUCAGAGCGGGUUAUCUUGUGAAGGUUAACACCUUAAGAUAAGAUCCAAGAUGAAUUCUACACCACCUACUGGAUACUACGAAGGACAAGACAUCAAUAGGCCUCCGUUGUUCAAGGGACAAUACUACUUAGGAUGGAAAGAAAGGAUGAAAGAUUUCCUUCAGGCUGUGGACUAUGAACUAUGGAAUAUAAUUAUAGAUGGACCUCAAUACCACCUGAAGAAGACUGUUGAAAAGAAGGAAGUAUUAAAGGACAAGAAUGAGUAUGAUGAGGGUGACUUUAAGAUGCUUGGAAAGAAUGCUAAAGCGAAGUAUAUACUUACUUGUGGACUUGAAAUAGAUGAAUACAAUAGGAUCUCAGGUUGUACCUCCAAAAGAAAAACUUGGGAUACUCUUGUGGAUAGAUAUGAGAUGAAUAUGGAGAACUUCAAAAAUAACAAGGGAACGAAGGAUAAGUCACCAGCAUUAAAGGCGUCUGACAAAGAAGAAUCAGAUAUGGAUGAUAAAAAGCUUGUCAAGAACUUUAUAAGAAAUUAAGAAAGACAAGCGCAUAACAAGAAAGGAAAAAGUAGAAGGUGUUGUUCCAGUGAUAAUUCUCAAGGUGGUUGCUUCAAGUGUGAGAAGAUAGAUCACAUGAUCAAUGAUUGUCCUGUCUGGGAAAUAGAAUCGAGAAAGGAAAUGUCUGAAAAGGAAUUGAAAGAAACAACCAAAAAGAGGGAAGAAUAUGCAAUGGUAGCAUCUUGGGGAUUUGACUAAGAUGAUGAUGAAGUUGAUGAAGCAGAACUCAUGGCUCUUGGAGAUUCAGAAUUGGAGGAAGAAGAUGAUAUUUCUGAGGUAAGUAUACUUGAACUAAAAGAAAAGCUGUGUUUGUCUUCUAAAACAAAACUAAUUUCAUUGAUGAGUGCACUAAUUGAUGACUUCCAAGAAUCAACUUCUGAUAGGGAUGAGCUGUUCAACAGUCUUGCAAGUAUCAAAUUUGAUUUUAUUGAUUUAGAAGCUUGCAAGAACAUUAUCGAAUAGGAAAACUGCACCCUCAAAAAAUAGGUUGAGCAACUUGAUUCUUCAAAUAAUGAUCUUAAGUCUGAAGUUCUAAAAUUGACACUCUUUGAAAAGGGAAAAAAGGUCAUGAGUAAAGAUCAAGAAAAUGCUGAACUUGAGCUCGUUAGAAACAAACAAGAAAGUCAUGAUCUAACUGACAAAUGAAUAAGUUGAGUCAAGAAGUUUCAAACGUAAAACUUGAUCUUGAAAGGGCAAAUAGGUGGACAAACUCCUCAAGAAUUUUUCACAAUUUAGGGGAAAGAAAUUACAGUGAAAAGGAAGGAUUAAUAUUCCACAAAAAUUUUGAUCUUCCUAAAGAUUUAUGUUAUAUUUGUGGUAACCUUGGACAUCCAGCCACUGAAUGUUCAGUUGCUACCGAAAGCAGAUAUAGCAGUCUAAAUCAAGAAAAUAAACUAUCUCAGACCAAGAAAAGGAUAAGUAAACUUGGUCAGAGAAACAGGUCGCAUAACCUAUUGCCUACAUGGGCUAGAAGAAAUCUAAUUCAUCUAUUUACUCAUAAGAAAGGACCUAAGCUUGUCUGGGUGCCUAAAUUUAACCCCUAAUUUAUUUUGCAGGUGAGAAUGAAAGGAGACAAGUAAAAUUUGUACAUGGAUAAAUCUUUCUCAAGGCAUAAGACUAGAAUAAAAUAAAGUUUCUUUCACUCACCACAUUUAAAGUGAGAAUGGAUCAUUUGAAAGAUGGCCAGAUUUGUAGUGCUCGUUUAAGGGAGAAGAAAGAGAGGUUUAAAAAAUGAAAAAAAAGGAUGACAAUGAAAAUGAUGAGCAUGCACAGGAACAUAUUGUACUACCUGGUCCAACUGUUGUACAGACUAAGGGAAUAUUGACAGGGGGAACAACAAAUAAAGAAAUGGAUGCAUCAAUAAAACCAACACAAGUUGCUGGUAAUUUUUUUCGUAGUUUAUAAGAAUUGGUGUUGUCAAAAGGAUCUUGAGAUAUACCAUGGAAAUUAAUGUCUUGAGACUAUGGUAUCCAAAGGAAAGUAAUUUCACUCUUGAGGGCUAUAAAUAAGUUAACUAUGUAAGCACCAAAGGUACUAAGUAGAGAGUAUUUUGAAAGGAAUAGGUUAGACUUGGGGAUGAUUAAAUUUUAUGAACUUCCCUCAAUGAUUGACUAGAAUAAUCAUUUUUUUCUUAAUCUUAUUAGCUAAGAAGUUAUUCUAUUUAGUCUUUCACAUUUAGUUGUGUGUCCCAAUUCCAGAUUUUUAACUUUUCUAACUUAAUUUUUUAUUAGAUUGUGCAAAAAAUUAGGUACAAGAAAGAAAUUGUGAUCACAAAGUUCUUCUUAGCAGGUAUGUUCUUCACUGACAUAAGUAUAGGCUUUCUAAGUUGAAACAGUUGAGCACACCUGUUCAAUUCCUCUCACUUCAUUCUCCCCUUGUCUUAUAAAGCUGACGAAUUGACCAAACUUUCUUUGAUUCUCUCCAAAUGGUUGUGCAUAAAUAUGUUAAUCCUACACCAUAAAUUCCUUCUUCUCUCUCAACCAAAAUAUCAGUUUUUAGAUCUUGUAUUUGCCAGAGUUGAUCAUCAAUUACAUGCAACAUAUGUUUCCGAAGAAUGAAAAGGGAUAUGUUCUCCCUUUUAGUUCCUAAUUGGCUAUUUUUGGGGACUUCUCAGUCCUAGUUCAGGUUUAAUUGGAUGUUCUUGAACAAAUGAAUCAUGUUUCUCUACCUGUUUCAAUAAGGAGGGAUAAUACUCAUUUAAAAAAGGAGAGGAUUUAGCUAACAAAAAUCUGAAGUAGAACCUGCAUAAAAUAGUCAUGAAGUAUAAUAAGAGGUUUGUAAAGCGAGGAUCAUGACUGAAUCUUGACCUUGAUUGAUGGAGGGAUGAAAAUAUUGAAGACAUUCGCCAAUUGACACAGUUAAUAUCACCUCUUCACUAAUUGUAUCCUUAGCCAUCUCCCAUUUUUAUACCGUAUUCUUUUUUGAUUAAUGAUAAGUUGUUUUUCCCUAUUUAGUACUAGCUUAGGUUUAAUGAGGAACAUUCUCUGACAGUUAAAUGGAAUGGUUAUCUUUGCUAAAUUGACUCAUAUUUUUGCUCUCUUUAAUACAUUACUAUGUUGGCUAAAGUUUUUUUCUGAUUGUUUUGGUGAUUGCCCAGUGGCCAUGAAGAGGAUAACAAAUCACUUUGGCUAGAAUAUUAUUGCAUUGAAAUAGUUUUUGAUGAUGCCAAAAUGGGAAAGAUGCAAUGUUUAUAACCCAUUGACUAACUUUUUACAUUCUAGUAUUUUAAACUUUAGUGCCAAUAGGUGAAGAUGUUUGAAUGCACAAAGACAAAAGGUUUGUCAUCACCAAAAUGGGGGAAUUUGUUGGAACCUUGAAUUUUUGAUGAAUGACAAUAUGAAUUAAACAAGUUGAAUUUGAUUCAAACACUUUAUGUUAAGGGAAAGCAAGUUGAGUUGAAAAAGGAGUCUUAUGUAAAGAAGGAGUUUCACUUCUAAUCAUAUCCUUAAGAGUCUAAUGUGUGGAAGGAGAAAUAUUAUGAAAAUUGAAUAAUUCAAAAGAGUUGGAGUUUUACUACAACACUAAGGAGACAGGAAUUGGAAUUGAAGACGGAGUCUCACUUUAAGUAGAACUCUAUGCAAUAAGAGUUCUAAUUAAAGUUUGAGUUUGAAAUAAAGAAUGACUUUUUAGAGAGUUGUGCUUAAAUAGAAGAUGCAGCAGCCAGAAUAAUUCACGCACUUUCAAAGCAAAAAAGCACAAUCAACAGAUUGACUUCACGAAGUGCUACUCAACCACUGAAGAAACACAUUGAAGAACCUGGUCCUAAGUAUAGAAUCCAUCUAAUAGUUUUAGCUUUGAUUUUCAGAGUUGUUCAUUGUGUUUGUGCUAUUGGUGUAAUAUUAGUUUUAGUGUGUUAUAAACUGAAUUAGGAGAUAGUCUUCAAGUUGGGGAAAACUCAGAUACUUUGGGAACGCAAACCUUGGGAGGUGUGUGUGUAAUUUGGAAUUAGAGUUUAUGAUUCGUAGUUAUUGAGUUAUAUAGGGAUUAGAGUUUAUAAUGCCUAGUUGUUGAGUUAUAGGAAUUAGAGUUUAUAAUUCCUAUUUGUUGGUUACAAGAGUUUUGUAAUCAGUCGUUGUUGAGGCUCAGAGUUUCUUAGUGAAGUUGGGGUUAAAUCCUGUAGAGGUGUAGGUCGUGGUUUUUUACACCUUUUGAGCCGGGUGUUUUCCAUGUAAAAAUCAUUGUGUUCUUUAAUUUCUGUUUACUGCUUCCUUGCGACACAUUAGUGGAACACGUCAGGCAGCACAUUCCAUCGAUAAGAAAAAGUUAGGCGAAAAUAAAAAAAUCAGUAAGGCACAAAUUCAUAACAAGUGGUAUCAGCGCGGGUUAUCUUGUGAAGGUUAACACCUUAAGAUAAGAUACAAGAUGAAUUCUACACCACCUACUGGAUACUAUGAAGGACAAGAUAUCAAUAGGCCUCCGUUGUUCAAGGGACAAUACUACUUAGGAUGGAAAGAAAAGAUGAAAGAUUUCCUUCAGGCUGUGGACUACGAACUAUGGAAUAUAAUUAUUGAUGGACCUCAAUACCCAAUGAAGAAGGAUGUUGAAAAGAAGGAAGUAUUAAAGGACAAGAAUGAGUAUGAUGAGGCUGACUUUAAGAUGCUUGGAAAGAAUGCUAAAGCGAAGUAUAUACUUACUUGUGGACUUGGAAUAGAUGAAUACAAUAGGAUCUCAGGUUGUACCUCCUCAAAAAAAAUUUGGGAUACUCUCAUAGAUAGAUAUGAGAAGAAUAUAGAGAACUUCAAAAAGAACAAGGGAACAAAGGAUAAGUCACCUGCAUUAAAGGCGUAUGACAAAGAAGACUAAGAUAUGGAUGAAAAAGAGCUUCUCAAGAACUUUUUAAAAAAAAAUUAAGAAAGACAAGCGUCAGAACAAGAAAGGAAAAAGUAGAAGGUGUUGUUCCAAUGAUAAGUCUCAAGGGGGUUGCUUCAAGUGUGAGAAGAUAGAUCACAUGAUCAAAGAUUGUCCAGUCUGGAAAAUAGAAUCGAGAAAGGAAAUGUCUGAAAAGGAAUUGAAAGAAAAACCCAAAAAAGGGAAUAAUAUGAAAUGGUAGAAUCUUGGGGAUUUGACUCAGAUGAUGAUGAAGUUGAUGAAGCAGCACUCAUGGCUCUUGGAGAUUAAGAAUUGGAGGAAGAGGAUGAUUUUUCUGAGGUAAGUAUACUUGAACUUAAAGAAAACUUGGAUUUGUUUUCUAAAACAAUACUUAUUUCAUUGAUGAGUGCACUAAUUGAUGACUUCCAAGAAUCAACUUCUGAUAGGGUUGAGCUGUUCAACAGUCUUGCCAACAUCAAAUAUGAUUUAAUUGAUUUAGAAGCUUGCAAGAACAUUGUCAAACAGGAAAACUGCACUCUCAAGAAAUACGUUGAGCAACUUGAUUCUUCCCCAGUGGCCAUGAACAGCAUAACAAAUCAUUUUGGAUAGUAUAUUAUUGCAUUGAAAUAGUUUUUGAUGAUGCCAAAAGGGGAAGAUGCAAUGUUUAUAACCCAUUGAUUAACUUGUUUCAUUCUAGUGUUUUCAACUAUAGUGCCAACAGGUGAAAAUGUUUGAAUGCACAAAGCCAAAAGGUUUGUCAUCAUCAAAAAGGGAGAAUUCGUUGGAACCUUGAAGUUUUGAUGAAUGACAAUAUGAAUGAAACAAGUUGAAUCAGAUUCAAGCACUUGAUGAUAAGGGAAAGCAAGUUGAGUUGAAAAAGGAUUCCUAUGUAAAGAAGGAGUUUCACUUCUAAGCAUAUCCUUAAGAGUCCAAUGUGUGGAAGGAGAAAGAUUCUGAAAAUUGAAUAAUUCAAAAGAGUUGGAGUUUCACUACAACACUAAGGAGACAAGAGUUGGAAUUGAAGAAGGAGUCUCACUUGAAUUAGAACUCUAUGCAAUGAGAGUUCUAAUUAAAGUUGAAGUGUGAAAUAAAGAAUGACUUUUUAGAGAGUUGUGCUUAAAUAGAAGAUGCAACAGCCAGAAUAAUUCACGCACUUUCAAAGCAUAAAAGCACAAUCAACAGAUUGACUUCACGAAGUGCUACUCAACCACUGAAGAAACACAUUGAAGAACCUGGUCCUAAGUAUAGAAUCCAUCUAAUAGUUUUAGCUUUGAUUUUCAGAGUUGUUCAUUGUGUUUGUGCUAUUGGUGUAAUAUUAGUUUUAGUGUGUUAUAAACUGAAUUAGGAGAUAGUCUUCAAGUUGGGGAAAACUCAGAUACUUUGGGAACGCAAACCUUGGGAGGUGUGUGUAGUUAGGAAUUCGAGUUUAUAAUUCCUAGUUAUUGAGUUGUAGGGAUUAGAGUUUAUAAUUUCUAGUUGUUGACUUAUAGGAAUUAGAGUUUAUAAUUCCUAUUUGUUGGUUACAAGAGUUUUAUAAUUAGUCGUUGUUGAGGCUCAGAGUUUUUUAUUGAAGUUGGGGUUAAAUCUUGUAGAGGUGGAUUUUGUACACCUUUUGAGCCGGAUGUAUUCCACGUAAAAAUUAUUGUGUUCUUUACUUUCUAUUUACUGCUUCCUUGAAAUGCGUCACUGGAACACGUCAGGCAACAAGUUCCAUCGAUAAACAAAAGUUAGGCAAAAAUAAGAAAAUCAGUAGGGCACGAAUUCUUAACAGUAGUUGUGCAAGAUCUUGCAAAUAGUGGAGUCCUUUCCUAAACUCUGCGCAUAGUGGAAGUUAUAGUUCAUCGUGUUGCCCUUCCCUAUUAUGUAAUUUACUAUAUUAUAUAUUUGUGGUAGACAGGUGAGCAGUUUUUGUAAUUUGUAUUAAGUGCUCUUUAAACUUGUUGAUAAUUUUCAUGUAGAUAUGUUAGUAGAGCAUCUGAACACGUGAUAAAAGUAUUUUGGUAGGUGCUUUUGUCUUCUGUUUUGAGACAAUAUGUGAUCUUCUUCUCAAUUAUCAAUUAUGUAGAAUGUCACUUCUUUUGAUGGUAUCAAGCUUGAGUUUCACAACUUUUAAAGUCAAUAUUUCAGUGAAAGGAGGUGAUACAAGUGCUGUGUUCAAAAGUGUCAUGUUUAACUGGGGUGAUAAUUUCAGUCAAAAGCUAAUAGUUUGCAAAUCAAUGGGGUGAUAAUUCAGAUGACAAAGACAAACAUACUAAAGAACAUAUAAUGAUAUGAUUAGCCAAUUGGCUACAUAUUAAUAACCAAUUCAAAAAAUACUACUCUUAUGAUGUUGUUUGUUCAACCACUACCCAUCUACCCAUACCUUAAUUCAUCAUCCCUGAUUUGUAUAAGCUCUAAUAUGAUUAUGUGACUUGUUUAAACUCAGUCAUAUGUGUAGAAUUCCACACUAUAUUUUUUUUAUUUAUUCAUUUUUAAACAACAUGCUACUACGGGUUUAUAAUCAUGUACAUACCUUUACGAUAUCUACCAAUGAUUCAGAGAUCAAUCGAUGCACUACCUACAGUGUAAGUCUACGGUAGACCAAUUGAAUCGAUGGACUCUCAAAGCGUAAGUUUAUUUUUUACUUAAUUAUUUUCUUUUUAAAUAUGUUAUUGAGGGUCCAUUGAUUAGGAUUGUCUAUGGUAGACUUUAAUAUCUCGUUGAUGAUUAACAUAGGUAAUCAUCGAUGAUAGUCUAUUAAGUAUCACGAACAGUUCAAAAAAUACAAUUACUGUUCCAACGGUAACAAAUGGCUAAUUUUGUAUUCUUUCAAUAUUAACACUUCUUUUUAAUUAAUAUAUAAAGUCGUCCAUCCCUCAUUAUUUUAUUUCAUCUACUUUGUUUUUAUUAUAAAAUUCUACAACGUCUCAAGCAUCUCAAACAUCCAGUUCUAUAAAGACUCUAAUUUAUCAUUGUAAAAAUGCGGCUGUGAUACAAGUCAAAUGGCCAUAUGAAUUUUUGAAGACAUGAUUAGAGGUGAUCAUUUAAAGGCUCAAGACUUGGUCACCCUGAGGGCACAAGAAUAUGCAAGGAAGACCCGUUUUGAGCACAAAAAAGGCCGUGUGUCGAAGACUGCUUGGAGCAUCAAAGACAUGAGGACUCACAGUUUUGGACAAAACUUAAUGGGUCAUGAUUUGGUCAUCUUCAUUAAGGAUAUUUUGGUCACUUCAUUGGGUCCAAAUGCACUCCAUGGCCACCCCACCCUUUAAGGGCAUUGUUGUCAUUUUGUCUUGUCUUGUAAUAGAAUAUAAAUAGAACAUUUAAGGUAUUUAACUGUUUAGUUGUUCAUUGAUGUAAGACUUGAAACAUGAAACAACUUUAGUUGUAGGGCUUAGAAUAGCCACCACACCAAAAUAAGGGCAACAGGUGUGGAUAUCACUUGUGUUGCAAUGUUGGCUUGAGACGUUGGUCUUUAGAGGAGGUAAAGUUUCUGUUGUGUCAAUGUAGGAGCUAGGUUAACCGUUGUGUAUAGUGUUAAGGGUCCAAUAUUACCAUAUUCUUGGAUUCUUAAGAUUAUACCAACCAAGGUCUAACUAUCUAUCCAUUUUGUUUAUGUUGUAAUCGUUGUUUGUGUUCUUGUAAUUCAAGUUCGUGACUUGUCGUUCUUGUUCCAUUUUUGUUGUUAACAUAGUUUUUUGUUAUCUGUUUUUAGGUGAUAAACACAUCAAUUCAUUGUGUUCUUGUUGUUGUUUGUUGAAUCCGAGUGUGGUCUUCAAAAGGGUCCUCGGAUCUUUGAUCUUAUGGAUUAAUUUUGAAGUGUGUUUUAUGUUGUCUUUGUAAUACUUGUAUCAUUUGGUAUCAGAGUCAUCUUUGAUUUUGUUCUAACAAGAUCAAUCUUGGGCUUGAGAGUUGAAAAAUAAAAGAAUAUAAAAAAAAGAGUUGAAAAACUAGAAAAAAAAAUCCAGAAAAGGAUUAAUCUGCCCGUUCCUGUUGUUCUUGGCUGAGAAAGUUGUUGUUCUUGUUGCUGUCUUGGCUGAGACAUGUUUCUUUGUGACUAGAUCUUGUAGUCUUUUGUUGUUUAGAGUGUUUAUAGUGUUGGUUUCUUUCUUACCAACACUUAAAAGUGUCCAAAUCUAAGCUUGAACUUGAACUUGUUGAUGUUGUUAAUGUGAACAAAGUGUGGCUGAUUUGAUGUUGUUGUCAUUCUAAGCCUUGACCGUGUUGAAGGCCUUGUUGUUGUGGAGUUGGGCGUUGGAAUUUGUUGUUGUUCUUGGAGAAUAUUAUUGUUGUUCUUGGUGUUGUUAUUGUGUUCUUGUUGUUCUUCACCCUUUUCAUCUUUUGAUAAAACAAAAAGUGAACAUUAGAUCCACAAAAGGUGAAAGACCAAGUUGUAGUACCUGUUGGUGAAAGACUUGAUCACAUCACUCAAAAGACUUGACAACCACUUUUCGCUACUUUCCUUGAUUUAACGACCUUGUUUCAAGGAGAAAGUACCAAGAAGGUCAAGUCUUGUUUUGAACUUGAAAAUGAAGCUUCAAGACCAAACUUCCCUCUAUUAACCAAAUCCACCAUUUCCAAAUUGUAGAUUGGUCAAGACUUGAAAUUGCAGCGUAAAAGUUUGACAAAACCGAGGCCAGUAGUGGACUGCCACAUCACAAAAUUACUAUUCAUGCAACAUUUUGAGUUCAACUUUUAGAUUUCUUAGUUUUAUUUUAUUGUUUCUUAGUUUCGUUUGUUGGUUCGAACAGUAAUUGUCGACCUAGUAAUCUCCUACUAGCUUUUUAGUUAGUUUUUGUGCCCGUUUCUUUGUGUUAGCAUUAUUUUGUACUUUUCUUGUUUUUGAAUCGUAGAAUUUUUUGGUUCAAGUUCGGAAAUUAUUUCCUUGAGUCUUCGAAAAAUGAAUCCAUUCCGACCAAGGAGUAGACUCACCCCUCGACUCAUCACGAACUAUAAGCCAACUUGCAACACUUCUGAAUCCAAGUGUGAAAUGAUCAUGUGUGUGAGAGUGUGGUGAGGUUGUUUUGAACUAACUUAUGUUUUAUUUUGUAGACUUGUUCUUUUUUUUUUAGGUGCAAUUAUGAUGGAACCCGUGGCUGCAAGUGCUAUUUUUGCUAAACUUGAAGCCAUUACCCAUCAAUGGAAAGUGAUAAAUGAAAGUUUGGAUCAUAUGGGAGUUCCAAGGGAGCAAGUGGGCUAUCCGAACACACGUCAAGAUGAAGACCUUAGCUCAUGUGAGCUAAGAGGUAAAAAUGUUAUCCCCUACACUCAUAUGAACGUAGUUGCAGUUUUACCUAGCAUAGGAGUGCAUGAGUCUUCAUUUUGAGAUACUUUUGAUAUUGUUAGGUCACAUGAGGACCAAACUCUUGUUGUAGGUUCACAAGCACUAAUUGAUCCUUUAGAUGACAAAAUUGAUUCUCCUCGUGAGAAUGAUUUAUGUCCAUCUACCACUUAGAACUUGACUAAGGUUCCAUUACCAAGUGACGAGAGUAUUCACACACUAGUUGACCCUUGUGAAAAAUAAGGUGUGUCUACGUUGGUAUGUGAAUUUCCAACAACUAGUGAGGGUGAGAAAAAUGAUCAACCGGGCGUAGAUGAUUUUGAUUUGCUUGAAUAUUUAGAAAAGCCGAGUUGUGAUUGUCUUUGUGGGGAUGGUUUUGAUUGUGUUCCUUUGUCUUCCCGUGAUGGUUUGUACGUAUGUAAGGACAAAUCUUGAGAAAGAGAAGGUGAUAUGUGCUUAGAAAUGCCAUCUACUUCAUCUUUAUGUCUUUCUUAUGUUGGGAAUAUUCCUAGUGGAAACUUAAAACUAGUAGUAAGUGCAUGAAUGGGAACCCUUUAUUUGAAGUUGACUUAUGAAACACCUUUCUCAACCCUUUUUUAGUUCAUGAUAUUUUCAAUGGUGAUAAAGAGGGCUUUCUUAAUUUCGAGGAUGAAACCCUAGGAGAAAGUGAGAGUGGCCGAGACCUAAGCCCUUGGUUACGUCUCCCAUUCGAUCCCGGUAACUUCUUACGGUUUGAAGGAUGUAUAGUUGUUGGUCGGUCCACUUGUUUGACUGAUAUUGUUAUAUAUGUUAGGUGGACUUUACUUUCAAUUAGGUCACCACCCCUUGAUGGUGAUUCCUUUCGCCAACUCCUUUGUAAUUUUUUCUCUAAGUCCCGUGUGACUACAUUAAAAGAUGUGUGGUUAUAUCUCAAGUGUGUACCUCCUUGUCAUGUUGAUUUUGUUUAUUGUACUAACUCUAACUCUCAUGUCAUAAGGAUGUGGUGCUUGUUUGUCUUCUCUUUAUUCUUGCAAGGUUUGGAUUUGAGGUCGAAUCCUUUUCAAGAAGGGAAGGAUGAUACAAGUCAAAUGGCCACCUUAAUUUUUGAAGACAUGAUUGGAGGUCAUCAUUUAAAGGCUCAAGACUUGGUCACCCCGAGGGCACAAGAAUAUGCAAGGAAGACCCUUUUUGAGCACAAGCAAGGCCGUGUGUGGAAGAUUGCUUGUAGCAUCGAA